rnacentral:lncRNA from 1 species
CUCCAACUCCUUCUCCAACCUGGUCACUUUCACCUCGAGCUCCUCUUUCAAACCCUUAAUCCGGUCAAACUCUGAUUUGGCCUCCUCCAUAAAGGCUUUCGUCGCAUGGAUAGGAAGAUCUUGGGCGGUUCGAUACAGAGCUGCCCCCAUAUGUGCCAUCUUGAUGCUGCUCCGAGUUAUAAAAUCCAAAUGACGAAGAAGAGAAACAUCGUUAGUAGGAAUGACACCAUAGGGACCGAUCUGCUGGUCGACAAACCCAACAGCGUCGAAAUCAGGAGCAUCUAUAUUGAAGGGCUCAACAGUUCGAGGUCUUUUGGAAGGAGGAAUGGCCGUAAGAGAAGAAACAGCAGCAAAAGCUUGGGGAGGAUCGAGCACAUGGACCCGAGGGAUAGGAAUCAUCCUCCUCGGUCCAGGAGAGCUUGGUACUGAUGGCUUUGGUAGAACAUGAGAAGAUCCUUCCCCAGCCACCUUGGCCGAGACGUUCUGGGCAGCUGUAGCCUUCCUCGCCUUUUUAAAGGCCCUCAUGGAGUCAUUAUUUUUAACCAUUUCUGAAAAAUACAAACAAAACAAAGUUACAAUGCUGGAAGAAAUAGAAAACAAGCAACAAGUAAGUCAAAAGAAGUCGACCACUACCCAGCUCGGCUCGGACAAGAGAAGGGUCUCCUAAAAAUCUCUUUGUAUCGAGAUAAGGAGGUUGUCCCCAAAUCCCCUCCAACAAAGUCACAAAAUCUUGCUCAACCUCAUCAAGCAUCUCCCACGUAUAUCUAGAUACUACAACAUUCUUUUGCCAACAUAAAGGGAAGGCAGGUUCACUAUUUGAUUCCAAGAAAAAAGGCCGAGCUCCCUCGAUAGCUCGGACCUUGAAGAAGUAAUUCUUAAAAUCCCUAAAAGACUCAUCAUACAUAGAAAACACUUUGUGCCCUUGGGCAGACCUGAAAGAAACCCAAGAAGCUUUCUUUUUGGUAGUCCCGAGCUUAGUCAAGACAAAAAGAUACAGAAAGAGAGUUUGAGAAGGUGUGACAUCCAACUCUUGGCAAAGCAACUGAAAGAUCUUGAUGAAGCCCCAGGAAUUCGGAUGGAGCUGAGACGAGGCCACAUUACACGAUCAUAACAAGUCAGUCUCAAAGAAAGUAAAGGGAAAGGUAAUGUUCAGCUGGCUGAAAAAAUAGUCAUAGGCAUAAAAGAAGGGACGCUCCCCUUGGGUCAGAGAAGGAAAGCAAACCCUCUCCUCGGAGUCCGGCGCUACCAACUCAUAAUCUUUCUCCUGGUCUCUAUGGUUACAGAUACGGUGACGUUUUCUAAGUUCCACAAGAUACUCAGGAUCAACAAUUGAAACACACAUCAGAACAAGGGAGUCCAUCCAAUCGGACAUGCCCUCGGGGACUUUGGAGGAGGUCUCAACAAUAUUUUACGAGAGGAAGACAUGGUCAACUAAUCCUACAGCAAAGUAAAAAGAGAGGAAUUACUAAAUAAACAGCUCGACCAUAACAAAGAAAUUAGCUCGAACAAUAUGGCUAAGAACAACACAAACAGCAAAAAGGACAUCCCAAGACCCACACCAAAGAUCCAAGGGCAUCCUUUGGAGGCAAUUAUGGAACAAGGACUUAGGAAAAUCUACAAGCCUACAUCUCUACACCUCUUAACAAGAAAAUAACCCCUUUUUAACAAAAGCGACACUCCGAGAAGAAAGCCACAAAAUUCAAAAAGCCAUCAAAAGAAGCCAUCUUUCAACAAAACUACUAAGGAAGCUAUCAACAUCAAACAGAUCAAAAUCACCUAAAGGUGCAAUCCUUUCCCAAAGAAUCAAACAGUUUCAUUAUCCCAAAACUCCAAAAAUGGUGACGCAAACUGAGGCAAAUACAACUUUCAAAACCCUAAAAAGCAUCAACUAUCAGGGAAAACACCAAGAGGCGUACAUAAGUCGAAAGGAACUCCAAAAAACAUGCAUCACAGCAACAAUCAAGCAAGACGACGCAAAAAGGUUCAAGCUUUCCAACAUACAAGCAAAAUCAAAACUUUACCAGGAAAUAAAUGCAAAGGAAGAACGACGAAGGAAGUAAAGAAGCGGAAAGAAGAACCAACCUGAAAAAGGGAGAAAGCUUUGAAGAAAUUGAAGAUGGAAAAGACAGAAUCCGGAAUCACCUUUCAAAGCAAAGAAAGCACCAACAAUCACCAAACGGCGUCGCAGAGAGAAACGCGAAAAUGCAAGUCUCAGGCAAAACAGAAAGGUAGAAAGAAAAAGGGGAAGUUACAGCAAAAGAGAAGAGGAAACCGUUUUUGUGAAAAGUUCAAAAUGAACGUGGGAGGCAAAAGAAAUGGAGCAUUAAAAGAAUUAAUGAGGUUAUUAAACCCUCGCGCAUUCCCAAAGCAAGGAGAUGCGCGUUUUCAAAAGAAUGAAAAUUUAAAGAAAAACGUUCCGCAUUCAAAGGGAAACUCUACAAAGAAGAAAUCGACAAAAUGCUUGAGUUCGGCUUCACCAGAGAAAGGAUCGAAGUCCUAAAACUAAGGACUCGACCUCAAAAGGAAGACCACACUCGAGCAGGGGCACUGUUCAUACCCUGGGUCGAACUGUCCGACCCGGGAUGAUCAGACGACAAGUCAACCGACCUCUUCAGGUCAGGAUUAUCCGACCUCACUCAAAGAGCUUGGCCAAAUCGCCAGGAAAAGCCCAAGUAGGGCCCAAACAGAGGAGCACGACCCAAAUCCAAAGGCAGUCCAAGCCUACAGAGAUAAGGGCAGUUCCCUUGAAAAUAAGAUGACCUCACUCAAGGAUAAGAUAGGAUAAGAUAAGAUAACUAUCUUAUUUCCAAGAAGGUCACUCCUCACCAUUAUAAAUACACUGGAGCACCCAGGUAUAACUCAUACUCUGAUUCUACUAAAAACCUGCUUGAUACCCUUGCUAACUUAAGCAUCGGAGUCCCUUGCAGGUACCACCACCCUCCGGUGACAAAGGAUCAGAAGCAUAACCAGUACAACAAGUCGGACACGACUACUCCGACCGCCAUUCACCAGUCGGACACGUCAUCUUCGACCAGCAAAGAAGAUCUCGUCUGAGAUCGACCCAAAGUUUUAGGUAACCCUCGGAACAGAAACCAUUGGCCUUUUAGUAUUAUCUGAUUGGUAAAACCAAUCGUCCAAUAGUAGAUUCUCUAAGAAAGAAAUCUGAAAAUCAAAGAAAUGAAUUUGACAUGGAAUUGGUUUCACAAUCAAAACAGUGAUAUGUUUUUGAAGGUUAAAAGUCCAUUGAACACACCACAUCAUAUAUUGCCUUCAUCCUCUCGUGCCUUUGUUUUAAGCACUUUAGAGAGUCUAGAUAUGUAAUCAACCCUCUACUUUUUUCCACAACUACUAGGAACCAAUGAUCUUUAACAUUAAUAGGUACGUAUAUCUCUCUUAUUAGGUUAAAUCAUUUAUUAGUUACAAGGAUAAAAAGAGUUAAUUAUUUUUUUACCACAGUUGAAAUAACUCAUCAAGAUAGUCUAUUACCUUAGAGAGGUCUUCAACCUUGCCCAUAAAGUUUGUUUUGAUGUAUUCCAUUGUCCCAACAGAAAUAUGUUGUUGUUGGAGUGCUAUUUGCUACAAGAUAUUAACCAUAACAAGAGUAAUAUGAAAUCAAAGUUUAACCUAAACUAUUUUGGGAUAAUAAAUAAAUAAUGACCAUAAUCAAAAGCAAAAUGAUUUAUGCCAUUAGAAACUUAUAGCAAAAGUGGUUGGGAGGAACCAUUUAUUGCCUUCCACUGUAACUGCUGCAUGUUUCAUAAGCAUUGAUGCCACCAUAUUCAAAACCUACAUUUGACGAGCCAGAAAUUGUCAGUCAUCAAUCAAAUUCAACAAAGUAAAAAAGGUAUAUCACAUGAAUUACUUCAUGACUUAUGUUAUCUCCAACCCGAUUUUUCAGACAAAGGGUCAUCAAUGCUUCCCGGCUUCCUCAACAAUGUUCGUUAGGCACAAGAAUCUCUCUAUUAAUAACAAAAUCGCAAGUUAUAUCUCAUGAAAUAAGUGUUUGAUUCCAAAUCUCCAAAAUUAGUAGAAGUGACCUACUUGGGGUCAUAAUCAUUUCCAAAGAUAUAGGCAAAAAUAGCCAACUCAAUACCCAUGAAAACCAUUUCCGAUGUUGGCCUAAAUGACACCUCCAAGCACUAUCAAUUUGGAUAGAAACAUGUAUAAGUAUUUAAAACAGAGACAUAGAGUACUUAACAGGAUAUGCGGGAAAGAGGGGACUAUUACCGUAUACAUCUCAUCACCAUACAUGUUCACCAAAUCAUGGGAUUCAUAUAGCCAUGGACGUCCUCGCUGUAGUUUAAAGUCUCCACAUGUGGGGAUUUUCUUCUACAAGAUGCAACUUCUACGUCAGAGAGGAUUUUUAAGAUAAAAUAAAAUUGAAAAAAAUUAACGAAUAAUCUCUUUCACCUAUUUAAAUAUUGUUUAUUCUUUUAAGAGUAAAUCACAUGAGUGUAGCGCCUUUGAUUAAGUGCUUGUAUUUGCUUAAUUUAGUUUUUUUUUUUUUCAUUUUGUCCUAAAAUCUUGAAAUCUGGCUUUCAUUCAUUUUUUUCACAUCAAAUCAUCUGCAAUAAUUUAAAUAAAAUAGAAAGUGAGAUGUUGUUAUCUACAUACCAAAGGGGUUGAUUGGUUUCUAUUUUUAUUUUUAGGAUUUUGUGAAUCAGAAAAGGAAAGUAAAACCCUUUUUUCCCCACUGUUUUCAGUUUAUUUAGGGAAAAAACCCAUGUCAGAAGAUGAACAUCCAAAUCAAGCCAAUUAAUUGAGUUUCUAACCUUAAUCGAUGAUGUUGCUUUUUGACCUCUGCAUUUAGUGGUACUCUUACGCCGUUUCAAGCCAGCGUUUUCGCUGAUUUCAUGAUCACUCAACGGACCAGAUGGUUUGCAAUCUGGUUCGAGCUUUUGAGCCAAAGGACACCUUGAUGAUUUUCGACGCAAUGGAGCCUUUUUUGCGAUUGUAUGAGCUAUCACUAAUGGAGGUGGCCCACUCACGGUAAUAUUCUCAUCAGCACUAGCAUCAUCAACAUGAUGAGCAACAGAUCUGAGUCCAGAUGAAACAAUAGACAAGAUUGCAUCAAUCUUUUUUCUCUGGUCGCUUAUUGUGGAGGAUAAAGAACGUAUCUCUUCAGCAACAAUGGUUCGAACGAACCUCGUAAGGGAAUCACUAAAAGAAGUCGUUUCCUUCAAACACAAAUGAGAGCAUCAGGAGAUACACCAAAUAGAAAAUAUAGAAAUAGAAAUAUAUUUCAUAACAACAUCUAAUGAGACAAUAGAAAACUCACCUCUCCAAAUGGCAACAUUAAUUGUUGGAGUGCAACGAUUUUAUCCCCCGUCUUUUCUUUUGUCACCUAAGGGGCAAAAAAUUAAAGGAAGUACACGAAAAUAAAAAUGAAAUGAGAUGUUGGUGUUUGAAGCAUACCUCAAUAUUUUAGCUUCACAGCAAUCUUAGCCCUGCUUCAACACCGUCUAUCAACAUUCAACUAUUUCAAAUACCAAAAGAAUCAUGUAAAUGAUCCAGGGAGCAACUUUACUUUUGUUCUUCAAGUAAUUCAAGAAGAAAACUAUUAAAACCUAAACCAAUAAAACCAUUAUACAUAAGAAUAACAGAAAGCCGGUAGAAAAUAGACAAUGCACAAUGAAAAGCGAAAAACAUAAUAACAGAGACCACCUACCUGAACUGACUCGCAAUGUUCUCCGGCAACCAUGAGAGUUAACGAACAAGCACGGGAGCACCCAGGGGGACAAGGCUUCAGACUUCAGAGGCAGAGAGACUAAGCAUGUGAGUAGAAGACUCCGACUAGAGAAGAAUGCGAGCACAGCUCCCACGAGCAGAGAUGAGUACUAACGCAGAAGAAGGAACAAGGCAAGCAGAGAGGAAUGUAGGUCCACGCCGUCAAUGUCACUAGUAGCCACCCCAUCAACUACAUAGAUUUAGGAAUUUGGAAAGGGGGUUAGGGUUAGGGUUGGAGUUGGGCUUAGGGCUAGGAUUAGUCAUUCUGAUGCAAAAUUGUUAGGACUUGAAAUUGGAGUUUUCCCAAAGAUUAAGAAAAACUGUUUUAGUAUUUACCAUAGUUUGAAAGAAGUAGAUAAUAAAAAUAUUUUAAAAAAUUUUUUGUUAUUUUUUUUUUUUGUAAUUUGUGUCUUAAUGAAAGAAUAAAAAGGAAUGUCGAGUGAUAUUUUGUUGAUUGCAAAUUAUUUUUGUAUCCACAAAUCAAAUAUUAAUACAAAUUCAAAAGUUCAUCUAUGAAUUUUUAUAAUGUUAAAUAACCUAAACCAUAAUUACUAAUUGAUAAAUAUAUCUAAUUUUGACAACAUAUUAAUUUCUGAUUUUUCUUUAAAAAAUAAAUAACUUAAUACAAUCAAAAUUUAUUUGGGUAAAUAUUUUAAAGAUUUUCGUAAGUGAUUUUUUAAAAGAUCUUUAAUAAAAAACUUUUAUCAAUUCAUGUUUUAUAUUUAAUCCCAUAAAAAAACAAAUUGAUGCUAAUUUUUAGAUGUAAGAGUAAAUUUGCUAUGAAAUAAUAUUAUAAAUUUGAUAUCAACACUUAAUCAGAGAAAUAAUAGUAAAAUUCACAUCAAAUAAUAUUCUAAAUACUAUCUCAAAUUAACUUUUAGUUUUAGGUUUACAAAUAAUCAUACAUUUAAUUCGAAUUAUUAAUUUAUAAAUGUUUGAGAGUAUAUUUCAUAUCAAAAUAACUUUUUAAAAUUUUAUCUAAAUAAUUAAUUUACAUAUAAUAGAACUCUAAAUUUAUUCUAAAUCACUAAUUCACAUUUAAUUAGAGAUUCAACGGUGAACUUGACAUUGAAUUAUGUUCUAUAUUGAAUCUCAACUUCUAAUUAAUAUUAAUUUUUAGUGUAUAAGAGUAAAUUUCAUAUAUAAUAAUGCUUUAACCUUGAUUGAAAUCACUAAUUUACACUUAAUUAAAAGUGCAAAACAGAAAUUCAUAUGACUACAUCAAAUCAUACUCUAAAUCUGAUAUUAAGAACUAAUUAACAAUUUUUUUUUGUUAUUAUGAUUAUGAACUUCAAAUUAAAUUAUGUUCAAUUUUUUAUAUGAUCAGAUCACUAAUUAUCAUUUAUUUAUACGUACAAAUAAAAUUUUCAUGUCAAAUCAUACUCUAAAUUUAAGUGAGUUUUUUAAGAUUUUUAAUUUACAAAUUCUUAUGAAUUCACAUUCUAAAUUUAAUCUCAUAAAAAACAAAUUAAUAUUAAUUUUUGGAUGCCAGAGUAAACUUGCUAUGAAAUAAUAUUCUAAACUUGAUAUCACACUUAAUUAGAGAAAUAAUAGCAAAAUUCACAUCAAAUAAUGUUCUGAUUGUUAUCUUGAAAACAAAUUAACUUUUAAUUUAUGUUCAUAAUAACCACACUUAGUUAUAUAUGAAGUGAUAUUCUAUAGUUAAUUCAAAUUACUAAUUGAUGCUUAAUUAUAUGUGUAAGAGCAUAUGUCACAUCAAAAUUAAAGUGAUGCUCUAAAUUUAAUCUAAAUCACUAACUCACACUUAAUUAGACGCUUAAGGAGAACUUUACAUCAAAUUGUGGUUUAUAUUGGAUCUUAACAACAAAAUAACACUUAGAUUUGAGUGCUAGAUUAAACUUUACAUGUAAUAAUACUUUAAGUUCGAUCAAAAUUUCAAAAUUACUAAUUGAUACUUGUUACGGACUGCCAAGUUCAGUCCAAGAAGUUGUCGGGUCGGGGCAUGCACUGCCCCACCCAGGCCCAAACCUCCAGCAAAAGGUCCCACGGAUCGGUUCCCAACACCCGACCCAGGACCCGAACGACUUACCACCCAAAGCGUGCUAUCGUUCGGGUCGGUGUCCUCAGGGUCAGUACCCGGCAUCCCGACCCAAAGUCCGGGACAACCUGCUCACGUGAAAAGGGACAGCUCACAGCUCCUCUAUCAAUGGGCUUGACCAUUGAUAGGCCCACCCAACAUAGUAUAUAAGGGGAGAGGACAGCUCCCCCCCCCCGAGGUACGUCACAUUCUUACCUAAUUCUGCCACCCUCCAGUACGGACUCUGACUUGAUCGUCGGAGUGUCCUUGCAGGUGGCCACCCCCACUCCGUUCAACCUCCGAUGUUGCCAGCGCACGAUCUCCCUCGCUCCACGCCAGCUCGGGGUCUCCCCCUCUCUCCUACUCAUCACCUUCCGACAACCCGAAAACACAAGGUAACGAACAUUGGCGCCGUCUGUAGGGAUCCCGGCACAGACAUGGAGUGACUCAUCACUUCGGAGGAGCUCCGCGAAGGAGGCGGGGCCCGUUUGAGCAGGGCGAGUUUGACAGCCUGCGCUGCCGAACAUCCGAGACCCUCCGUUCAACCCAACCAAUAAAUGUACACUAAGACCCCCGAAAGGCUCUCCUUCAGGGGAACGGGAGCCGACAGCGCCAAGAUCAUGCAAGAGCUCAGGCAUAGAGUACAAAAUCUCGAGUGGGAGUUGGCGGCGAGGGGCCAAUCCCACGAAAAUGUCAGCCACUCGCACGGCGGCACCAGCCGGUCCCACGCCCACACCCGCUCCCCCUCCCGAGCAUACAACAGCCAAGGUAGAAGCCUAAUAAGGCACGAAGAGGUGCACACGCAAGCAACUUCCAGACCCACUCGAAGCAAGUCGGAAAGCCGCUGGGGGUCCCAGAAAGAGGAGGCCAGGAGACAACAAGAUCCCAUUAUCAUGGGAGCCACCGCUUUUCACCCCUCAAUCCUCAAAGUCCGACUCCCGAGAAACUUCGACAAGCCGACAGACAUGAGGUAUGAUGGGACCAAGGAACCCCAGGAGCAUGUCACAGCCUUUGAAGCAAGGAUGAACUUGGAAGGGGUAGGCGACGCGGUUAGAUGCCGAGCAUUCCCCGUGACACUGGCCGGACCAGCGAUCAGAUGGUUCAAUACCCUCCCACAAGGAUCUAUCACAACUUUCGCAGACAUAUCCCAGAGCUUUCUAGCUCGGUUCACGACGCACAUAGCCAAGGCAAAGCACCCAAUUAACUUAUUGGGAGUCACCCAGAAACCCGGGGGCGAGCACAGCUCCCACGAGCAGAGAUGAGUACUAACGCAGAAGAAGGAACAAGGCAAGCAGAGAGGAAUGUAGGUCCACGCCGUCAAUGUCACUAGUAGCCACCCCAUCAACUACAUAGAUUUAGGAAUUUGGAAAGGGGGUUAGGGUUAGGGUUGGAGUUGGGCUUAGGGCUAGGAUUAGUCAUUCUGAUGCAAAAUUGUUAGGACUUGGAAAUGGAGUUUUCCCAAAGAUUAAAGGAAUCUGUUUUUAGUAUUUACCAUAGUUUGAAAGAAAAAGUAGAUAAUAAAAAUAUUUUAAAAAAUUUUUUGUUAUUUUUUUUUUUUGUAAUUUGUGUCUUAAUGAAAGAAUAAAAAGGAAUGUCGAGUGAUAUUUUGUUGAUUGCAAAUUAUUUUUGUAUCCACAAAUCAAAUAUUAAUACAAAUUCAAAAGUUCAUCUAUAAAUUUUUAUAAUGUUAAAUAACCUAAACCAUAAUUACUAAUUGAUAAAUAUAUCUAAUUUUGACAACAUAUUAAUUUCUGAUUUUUCUUUAAAAAAUAAAUAACUUAAUACAAUCAAAAUUUAUUUGGGUAAAUAUUUUAAAGAUUUUCGUAAGUGAUUUUUUAAAAGAUCUUUAAUAAAAAACUUUUAUCAAUUCAUGUUUUAUAUUUAAUCCCAUAAAAAAACAAAUUGAUGCUAAUUUUUAGAUGUAAGAGUAAAUUUGCUAUGAAAUAAUAUUAUAAAUUUGAUAUCAACACUUAAUCAGAGAAAUAAUAGUAAAAUUCACAUCAAAUAAUAUUCUAAAUACUAUCUCAAAUUAACUUUUAGUUUUAGGUUUACAAAUAAUCAUACAUUUAAUUCGAAUUAUUAAUUUAUAAAUGUCUGAGAGUAUAUUUCAUAUCAAAAUAACUUUUUAAAAUUUUAUCUAAAUAAUUAAUUUACAUAUAAUAGAACUCUAAAUUUAUUCUAAAUCACUAAUUCACAUUUAAUUAGAGAUUCAACGGUGAACUUGACAUUGAAUUAUGUUCUAUAUUGAAUCUCAACUUCUAAUUAAUAUUAAUUUUUAGUGUAUAAGAGUAAAUUUCAUAUAUAAUAAUGCUUUAACCUUGAUUGAAAUCACUAAUUUACACUUAAUUAAAAGUGCAAAACAGAAAUUCAUAUGACUACAUCAAAUCAUACUCUAAAUCUGAUAUUAAGAACUAAUUAACAAUUUUUUUUGUUAUUAUGAUUAUGAACUUCAAAUUAAAUUAUGUUCAAUUUUUUAUAUAAUCAGAUCACUAAUUAUCAUUUAUUUAUAUGUACAAAUAAAAUUUUUAUGACAAAUCAUACUCUAAAUUUAAGUGAGUUUUUUAAGAUUUUUAAUUUACAAAUUCUUAUGAAUUCACAUUCUAAAUUUAAUCUCAUAAAAAAUAAAUUAAUAUUAUUUUUUGAAUGCCAGAGUAAACUUGCUAUGAAAUAAUAUUCUAAACUUAAUAUCACACUUAAUUAGAGAAAUAAUAGCAAAAUUCACAUCAAAUAAUGUUCUGAUUGUUAUCUCCAUAACAAAUUAACUUUUAAUUUAUGUUCAUAAUAAUCACACUUAGUUAUAUAUGAAGUGAUAUUCUAUAUUUAAUUCAAAUUACUAAUUGAUACUUAAUUACAUGUGUAAGAGCAUAUGUCACAUCAAAAUUAAAGUGAUGCUCUAAAUUUAAUCUAAAUCACUAACUCACACUUAAUUUAAUGCUUAAGGCAGUUGCUAAGAAGCUAAUUUCUCUACAGAAAAAAAUUUUAUGGAGUAGGGAGGAUGGGAGGCAGGGAAUGGCGUUGGUGAAAUGGGAGUUGGUACAGACCCCGAAGAAAUAUGGUGGGCUGGGAGUAGGGGAUGCUAUGAUUCGGAACUCAUCACUAUUGUUUAAGUGGUGGUGGCAUUUUGCUAAGGAAGAGUGCCCAUUGUGGAAGAAGGUGAUCUGCUCCUGUAAUAACUUGAGGCCGAAUGAGUUAUUGUCUUCUCAAGCGCUGCCUACUAGAGGAGGCCCAUGGAGGGAUAUAUGCCAUAUAGAAUUUCAGGAGCAACAUCUGCGUGAUAAGAUGAUCACAGGUCUGGCAAUGGAGAUUGGGGAUGGCCGAAAGACCCGGUUUUGGGAGGAUGUUUGGUUGCAGUGUGGUUCCUUGAAAGAUCGAUUUCCUAGGCUCUUCUCUAUUUCAAACCAAUGUGGGGCGGUAAUUGGGGAGUGUGGGUUUUGGGAUGGGUUAGAGUGGGUUUGGAAUCUCCAAUGGAGGAGGGAGCUCUUUCAAUGGGAGUUAGACCUUCUGAGUCAGUUAAAUGAGGCUUUGAGACCCGUGAGGCUAGCGAGUAACAGGGAGGAUAGAGUUGUGUGGAAAUAUGAUAAACUUGGUAUCUUUUCGACUAAUUCUUUUGUGCAGGUGCUACAAGAAGGAAUGUUAUCAGAGGAGGCAACCAGUUACAGCUUCACAAAGACCAUCUGGAAAGGUUUGGUUCCACCAAGGGUUGAGCUAUUUGCUUGGUUCGUCCUGGUCGGCAGGGUGAACACAAAAGAACGGCUAAGUCGGAUCGGGAUUAUUAGCCAAUAUGAUAAGAGCUGUGUUUUAUGUAAUAAGGAUGUUGAGCAGGUCCAUCACUUGUUUCUUGGCUGUGAUUUUGCUUGGCAGGUGUGGAGUGCAUGGUUAUCUAUGGCUGGCCGGCUAUGGGCUGUCCCGGGGUUAAUGAAGGACCAUUUCCUGAGUUGGACAGAUGAGCCACGAAGGAAAGAGGAUCGAAAGCAGCGAUUAAGGUGUUUCUGUGCGAUCAUUUGGCAUAUUUGGAUGGAGUGAAAUAGAAGGAUAUUUCAGAAUCAAAAGAAAGGCGUAGAAGAUAUCAUUACAUUGUCUAUCCUUAGCUGCGAUGAGUGGGGAGGUAUGCAUCCCUAGGGUUGUUGAUGGCUAUGCCAGAGAUGACGUGGGGAUGUUGUUCCUCUGUUCAAGGAGUUUGUGGGAGUUGCCUGUAUUUUUGUUUGUUUGAUACUAUUUGCUCCACUUUAAUGUGUUGAGCUCUUUUACUUAAAAAAAAAAAAGGAGAACUUUACAUCAAAUUGUGGUUUAUAUUCGAUCUCAACAACAAAAUAACACUUAGAUUUGAGUGCUAGAUUGAACUUUACAUGUAAUAAUACUUUAAGUUCGAUCAAAAUUUCAAAAUUACUAAUUGAUACUUAAUUAAAAGUGUAAAAUACAACUUUAGAUGAUCACAUCAAAUUAUAUCUAAGUUUGAUAUUAAGAACUAAUUAACAUUUUUUCUUGUUGUUAUUAUUAUGAACUUAAUUAAAUGAUAUUCAAUUUUUUAUUCGAUCAGAUAACUAAUUAUCAUUUAUUUAUAUGUACAAACAAAAAUUUUAGAUUAAAUCAUAUUCUAAAUUCACCUUAAAGAUACAAUAUCAUUUUGAUGGAGAACUAAUAAAAUUUUGUCAUUCAAAUAAUUAUGUUGAUAAAAUAAUUAAAAAAAUAUAAAAUUCUAAGUGAUCUAAGAUUGAGUAUUGGAGGAACAAAUUUUCACUUUGAAUUUCAAAUCACUAUUUAUAAUAUAUGAUCCUACAAAUAUUUUUAUAGAAUCCAAAAUGAAAUUGAAACUAGAACUAACAUUGGAGAUACUCUAAUGUAUAAUCAAUUAUAAUUACAAUAGUGAGAAGGACAAAAACAUUAAGCAAAUUUACUAGUAAAAAUAUUACUCUAAAAAUAUAUUGGUAUUUUUAAAUUUGAACCAUAUAAUUUGAACCUAUAAUUUGGUUCAAUAAGAUUCAAUAAAAUAGUUUGGUUCAAUACGGUUCAAUAAAACCAAACCAAGUUAAUAAGAAAAUCAUGAUGAAACACUUGUUCAAAUCAGAAUGGCGACUUUAGCGGAAAUCAUUUUUCACGACUUCAUUUAAGUGGCCGCCUUAACGUUUAUGGUGUAAGCGGUAAUAUUUAAAAGAGUUUAGGUAUUUGGAAAAAUAAAAAUAUUACUUGUAUAUUAUAAUUAGUCAUUAUGUAUUUAUGUAUAAAUAUAUGUAUUAUUUUAUUUAUUUUAAUAUAUAUAUUAUAUUUUAAUUUAUAUGUUAUACUAAGUCCCGUUACAAAAAGUUUUUGUAACGAAAAAUGGAACUGUUACAAUUUAAUAUGAUGUUUUGUAACAAUUUUUUCUGAUACAAAAAAUCAGAAGCCGUUACAAAAGUAGUAACAAAUUUUGAUCUUCAAAGUAUUUUUCGUGACAAUCUAUUUUUUCCUAUUAAAAAAUUUUGUUACAAAAUGUAACUUGAUUUUGUAACAUUUUUUUUAAUUAACUAAUAUAUUAACUAUUUUAUUAAGCAAGUCUACAUUUAUAUAAUAUGUAAAAACAUACAUAAUUCAAACAUGCCUCAUUUAGCUAAAAUUGUUUUAAAACAAAAUAACAUUAGUGAGUACAUUGAUUAGUUCUACAAGUUAUAUGUCUUGCACAAGUUCAACCAAAAGUUAAAAGUUCUAACAUAGAUUAGUGUCUCUAUGAAUCAAAAUAUUUUUGAGCCCUCAAAGUAGCAUGUGGUCACCAUUUCAGCACUCCUAUAAAUAAGAAAAUCCGAAACAAAAAGUUAGGUGCAUAGUCAAAAGAAAUAUCUUAAGGCAAUCAGAAAUCAUGUAGCAAACAAGGGUCUAUUUUGACACAGAAAUUCGUCAAAUAGAACUUGUUUGCUCAAACAACACAAUGCAGUUUAAUUGAGCAACCAAAUAGUGAAUAACAAAACCCAAGCUUCCAGCUUCCAACAACCAAAACAGUGAAGCACUUAACCGGAUAAUCAAUCAAUUGAUCUUAGCAACAGUUGAAAACCAAAAGCAAUUAAAUACCAACUCAAUCAAUUAAUUGAAUCAAAGAUGAAUAUUGAAAACAGCUUAAGAUAAAUUCCGGCAGCAUUUCAGCAGUAAAUUUGCCUAUUUCACAAUUUUAAUCAAUCAAUUCAAAUUCCAUAUGAAUUCUUUGACAGUUAAAAACACAAAAAAUCAUAAUGAAUUCAUAGGAAAGAAGUAAAUAAGCCAAUUCCAGCAAGAAAACAUGAGGAAACAAUUAAAACCAAUCCAACCAGCAAGAAACAGAGCAGCACUCAGCAGAACAGCAAUCAAUGGCCCAUCAUACAGCACCCAAAACAGUAAAAUGAACAAAGGUAAUGGAUUCAGGCAGCAUUCUAUUCAUUGAAGUCAAUAACCAUUACACUUGCAAGCAGCAGGGGCACAACAGUUUAUCCAUUAAUUCAACAAAAAAUCAAUCAAGACAAACUAAACGAUUUCAGCAACAGAUUUAUCAAUAAAACUAAUCUCAGUUCAGCAACCAUCAUCUAUUCCAACACAAACAACAAUAACUCAGCAGCAUUUCCUUUCUCAUUGAAUUUAACAAUCAUUCAACAAGCAAGCAAUGAGGGGGAAAAAUCAGCAGCAAGCAACAGCAAGUAUAGAGCAGCAAUAACAACUUAAUGUGAGAAAUUAUUCAACAACAAAUGCACACACAAAUACAAGGAUUACUUAAAUGACUCAUCAUGCUUAUCCACAUAAGUCUGCAGUGAAACCACUUACCGUUUCACUUAAGAGGCUUGUAACAACAGCUUUUUUAUCAACUUCUUUCUCAUUUUCCCUUUCAGGCUCACUGUCAGGCUCACUGGUUUAUUUUCUGUAGAGAGAUAAGGACCUCCUGAAUUCGGCAUCAUGACAGAGUUUGCACUGGGAGUAAGAAGGCCAAAAUCUAAUAACUGUAUUAGAGAAGAAAAUCUGGUGUCACACUAUUUUAACAUUGAAGUGCUUUAUUUACUUCUGGCAUGUCUAUCAAAUAUAGAAGAUGCUAGUUCUAGUGAGAAAAGAAAUGUUUCCUUAUUUUAGCUGCAAAGUUCUCAUCUAACAUAAUAUUGCUUGAGCUGAUGGAGACAUGAUAUGCUGGUGGAUCAUUAAAAAGAAACAAGUAUUCCUGCAGCCACAAUCAACACAACAAAAGUCCAAAAUCAGAAUCAUGUUUCACAACUUUUGUGAAACGUUAAAUAAUUUGUCACAGAUAUAAGUGACAAAACAGCCUCAUAUAUUCAUGUUUCUACAAUCAUAUCAAUCAAAAGAAAGAACUCAGAAAUAGGCUAAGUCAUAUAGAACUAUCUUGUAGAUACACAUUUAAGCUUUUGUUUUUCAUUGGCAAACUGAAUGAAACAUACAACUGUUGGAAACUCUGUAAAAAUUUUAAUCUUCCUAUAUACUAACAUGUUUUAAGGUAGGAAAAUUGAAUAUAUAUAUAUAUAUAUAUAUAUAUAUAUAUAUAUAUAUAUAUAUAUACAGAAACUAAUUUACACUCGCUUCCAUGAAACCAAGUACGAUAGUUUCCAAUAUUUAUUUUAUCAUAAAUGUCAAGAAUGAGAAAUGCUAAACAGUUACAGCUUAGCAGGGAUGUCACGCAUCCAAUAGCAAUUCAUGAACUCAAUGAGACAUUAACUUUUCAUAGUCCUCAAAUUACUUGCAUUAGAAAAAUAUGAUAAGAAGAGUGCAGUUUCAAGUCAAAACACAUUAGGAAAAUUUGGUUCUUUGAUAAGCUUUUGUUUAAAGAGCUUACCAGUGCUGCUACAACUUCAUUAGCAAUCUGCAACCUCAUCCUCCAAUUUAAGGGAGUCUUCAAGGGAUCUACCAGCAUUCAAACAUUGAAAUAAAUAAAGAAAUAAAAAUAGUUCCAAUUAUUAUUGAGAGGCUCCUCUAAAAUCCUUCUAAUUUCUUUCAAAAUUUACCAUUGAGAUGCUCCUUUAAGCUUCCAUUCUCUAUGUUAUCAAAUAUGAGCAGUCUGCAGAAAUAACCCAAAGGCAACAAAAAACCAGUUAAAAAAUUUGCUUUACCUAUCAAAGCUGAGGACUCUGGCAACUUACGGAACCUAGAGGCAGAGGCAAAACAAAGCCAUUUUCCCAAAUCCCCAUUAGCAGCUUCCUUGUUUUCUUUUCCAUUCGCGUUACUCUUCACGGAGGACCUUGGCGACGGCGGACCUUGGCGACGGCGACGAACUCCGGAGGCGGCGGCGCAACAGCAACGGUGGGAUUGGAAGCACCAGUGAUAAUUGGGCGUAUAACAACGAUGAGAACUCCUCCUCUCCCUCACGUUCUGUUCGUUUUCCCCCUUUCCUGCCUGUGAUGGUGAUGGCGACGGGACCUGGCAGCAGCGGCGGUGGAUUAGCAGUGACAGAGGCAAGGCACGACGGCGACGAAACCCUUGGCGGCAAGACGCGACGGCUUCGUGGCAGUAGAGCGCGGCGAUGAGAUCCCCUUCCAGGGGUGGAUAAUGGCAACGUUGAAGGCUCUACGACGGGAGUAACCCGUCGGCAACAGUGGAAGCUUUAGUUGCAGCAAGAACGGUCUCCAAGGGCGACGGUAGGGACGGUAGAAACGACCCACGACGACAGCAGCGGCGUCCUCUUGCUCGAUCUCUCCUCCUCUGCAUCACUCUCAUUUCUCUGAUUUUUCAUUUCUGAAAUUUGUUACGUUGAAGGGGAUGAAAUGUGAUAGGGUGCGGCUGAGUGAUGGUAUCUUGGUAAGGAAGGAUAAAAUUAGGGUUAGGUUCUUCAUUUUGGGAAUAAGGUUUCUGUUUUUUUUAAUAAAAUAAACAUAUUUUGAGAUAAAUUAUUUUUAAUUUAAAUUAUAAAAUAAUCAAUUUAAUAAAAUAAAUCAUAAUUUAUUCAUAAUAAAAAUUACUUAAAAUAUGUAAAAUAUUUUAACUUUUCAAACAAAAUAAAUUAUUCUAAAAAUAAUUAUAUAAAUAAUUUUUUUAUUCUCAAAGUGUUUAACAUUUUGAAAUAAUUUUUUUGUUAUAAAAUAUACUUACAUUUUGUGACAAACAAAUAACUUGUUAUAAAUAAUGUUAAAUUUUGUGAUAAAUUAAUUUUUUAUUACAAAACAAUUGAAGUUUUUGAAACAAAAAGAUAUUUUGUUACAAAAUAUUUCAAAUUUUUACAACUACUUUAUCUUUUUGUUACAAAAUAUUUCAAAUUUUUGUAACAAACAACAGUUUGUUACAAAAACUAAUAUAAUUUGUAACAAAAAAAAUCAAGUUGUUACAAAAUAUUAGCAUGUUUUGUAACAACUUCAUUAUUCUUUUGUAACAAUCACUAAUUAUUAUUACAAAAAAUCAUUUUUUCGUAAUAAUUUUAAAUUUGAUACAAAAUUUUUGUUACAAAUGUUCCAUUUUCUUGUAAUGUAUAAUAAGCUAAAUUCAAGAGUUAUUAAAUUGAUAAUUUAACAAUAGAAUUGUGUAAUAAUAGACGGAUUCGUUUUUUCUAAAAUUCUAAACAUUCUAUACUAAUUUAUUUUUUUGUAUUAGAAUUUGAUGAUUUAAAGAUAGAUUGAUUAGAUAUAUAACAGUAAAGAGAUGAAGCAUUAAUUAUAAUUUUUCACAUCUACUUAAUAUACUAAAACUGGGUUUUCUCCCAGUUACUAAAGCUGACGUGUCGAUCUCUCAUGCUUCCAUUUUCCCUCCAAAACGAAUAAAAAUUUUUUUAUAUUCUAAAUUAUUUUAUUGUAAUUAUAUUAUAAUUAAUACUAAAUGAAUAAUAUAUAAUUAUACUAAUUUAGNNNNNNNNNNNNNNNNNNNNNNNNNNNNNNNNNNNNNNNNNNNNNNNNNNNNNNNNNNNNNNNNNNNNNNNNNNNNNNNNNNNNNNNNNNNNNNNNNNNNNNNNNNNNNNNNNNNNNNNNNNNNNNNNNNNNNNNNNNNNNNNNNNNNNNNNNNNNNNNNNNNNNNNNNNNNNNNNNNUUGUUGUUACUCUAAGUUAUUCUUAUCGUCUAAUGUUCCAAUUCGAUUGUCUUUUGCCACAAUCAUUUACAAUGCAUCACAUCCAUGAAAUACCUCAUCGAGUUGUCUUCACUGAUUCGGGUUCCAACUACAUGGAUGUAAGCAUUUAAAGAAGAGGCAAUAGUCUCUACUUUACCGAAGGAUGGUUGGAUCUACUCACCUAUUAUGACCAACCCAAUGGAAUGUGGUUAAAGUUAGAUUUCUUAGGAGGAGCUCGAUUUUUGAUUGAUGAAUUGCAUCCACGGAACUUUAUAGGGAAAGUUCAAGUUCCAUCCCCUCCAUGUUUUUUACGUCUGCCCGAAAAUCUUCGAAGUGGAGCACAUAAUGAAAUUGAAUUCCCUCAGUUUCAGUUCAGUUUUGCUAAAUUCGUGACAAAUUCAAAUAUGCAAUUUCAACGAUUGGUAAUAUAUUUAAAUUUUCUUAGUUUAAGCUGUUCAUUGUUAGAAUAAUUUUUUAACAUAUUUUGAUUUUUUUCAGAAAUUACCAGCUUUCUUUUGCAUGCAUGCAAUGCCAUUGAGGGGAAUAAGAGUUAGUUUGGUUUCUCGGUGUGAUAAUUCUAUACCUUGCCGCAUUGCAUGGAUAGCGGAUGAUGAAGCUUAUCUAACAAGAGGAUGGUCUGAUUUUGCACAAAUUCUAAAUAUUGAAACUUACAAUGUUAUUUCAGUUGGUUGUCGUUACAAGAAUGAUUCUAUACUAUACGUGACUAAGGACUAGAAUAGGUUCAAUAUUGUUUAGGUAAUUUAGUUUUACUAUUAGUAUUUGAUUAAAUUAUAAUUAUAGAAUUUUAAAUUAUUGCCUCAAUUUAUAUAUUACGAUUAUUUUUUGUAGAUGUGCUAUUUUUAAAUAAUUUAAUAAAAUGAAGUAGUGUCAGAUAUUAUUAAGUUUAUUUUUAUCCUUCAUUUCUUUAUUUGUAUUUUCAUUAUAUUUGACAAAAAAUGAACCUAUACAUAUAUUAAAUCGUUGACCUAAAGACAAUUUAUUUGCCAAUAGAAACAGAUUUUAUUUAUAAUUGGAAUAAAAUUUAUUUGCCAAUAAUCGGUGGAUAAAAUUGAAAUUACACCCAUGUCAUAUAAUUAUAAUUGAUUAAUUUGUAUAAAAUGAAAUUAUACCCGUGCCAUGAGUAAUAAUCUAAAUAAUUAUAUCUUAACAAAAUAUAAUUUGAAAUAAUUUAUAAACAAUUAUCUUAACAAAAAUAAUUAUUUAAUAAUUGAUUUAAAAAUCAAUUCAAAAAAUAAUUAUUAAUAAUUGUAUUAUUAACUGGGUAAAUAAUAUAAUAUCAAAUUAUUACUUGAAAUAUAAAUAAUAUAUGAAAAUUUAUUGAGUAAAUCAAUGAUUUUGCACCUUAAUAAUUUAACAAUUAUUACUCAAUUAACCAGUUAAUUGAAUUAGUAAUAACAAUUUUCAAUUUCAAAUUUUGUAUAUUAAGUAGUUAUUAAAAAUUGGGUAAUAACAAUUUACACGGAAAAAUCAUUGAUAAAUUCAAUUAACCAUAUAGAAGAUAAUAUACUAACAGUUUUAGUAUAUUAUUUAUGGCAAGCGAAAUUAUUUUCUCAGAUUUUCUAUUAAAAUUGAAAUUAGUAAUAGUUUAAAAAAAGGUUUAUAAAUAAAAUUACUAAUAGUCACAUUUUUAUACACAGGAUAUAUGUUUUCUAUAUAUUAUUUAAAAAAUAUAAUGAAACAUGAAUAAUGAAUGAGUAUGUUAUUUCUUCGACUAGCUAAUUAAUGCAAAAUCGAGUACCUUUUUUUAUUCGAUUGAGGUCAUAUUCUGUUUGGUGACAGUUUCAAUCACCUUAAUUAAAUCCUGUCUUUGUGCCUUAACUUAUACAGAUAGUAAUAUGUUACAUAUUAUUUGGUAUAUCUAAGUAUUUAUUUUCCGUAGCGGAGAUGUAAAAAAUCAUAUUAAGGUUUAUUGCCAAAUAAUUAGUGGAUGAAUAAUAGUAGAUUAUAUUAUUUUGGGAAAGUAUUUUCAUUAUAAUUAUAUCAAAUCAAUAUUUAAUUAUGAUAAAAUAUGUUAAUUAUAAUUAUAUCAUAGAAUUAUAAUAAUUACGAUAUUUAUGUUAUAUAUUUUAAUCAUUUAUGUACGUAAAUAAAAUAGAAAUCAAUCAAAUCAAAUUAUCACGGGAAAUAAUAUGUUGUAUAUUAUUACGGGAAAUAAUCCGUAGAUAAAAUUGAAAUUACACCCAUGUCAUAUAAUUAUAAUUGAUUAAUUGGUAUAAAAUGAAAUUAUACCCGUGUCAUGAGUAAUAAUCUAAAUAAUUAUAUCUUAACAAAAUAUAAUUUGAAAUAAUUUAUAAACAAUUAUCUUAACAAAAAUAAUUAUUUAAUAAUUGAUUUAAAAAUCAAUGCAAAAAAUAAUUUUUAAUAAUAGUAUUAUUAACUGGGUAAAUAAUAUAAUUUCAAAUUAUUACUUGAAAUAUAAAUAAUAUAUGAAAAUCAAUUGAGUAAAUCAAUGAUUUUGCACCUUAAUAAUUUGACAAUUAUUACUCAAUUAACCGGUUAAUUGAAUUAGUAAUAACAAUUUUCAAUUUCAAAUUUUGUAUAUUAAGUAAUUAUUAAAAACUGGGUAAUAACGAUUUACACGGGAAAAUCAUUGAUAAAUUCAAUUAACCAUAAAGAAGAUAAUAUACUAACAGUUUUAGUAUAUUAUUUAUGUCAAGGGAAAUUAUUUCCUCAAAUUAAAUUUUAUAUAAUUAUAGUAAGUCUUUGUAAUUAAAGCAAUAUAAAACUGCUUCAUAUAUAACAAUAAUAUUAUACAUAUUUAUAUAUCUCUUCUUUUAUCUCUUUUUUUAAAAAUUGGCAUAUAAUUAAUGUAAAAAAUAUAUAAUAUUAAACUGUUUUGUUAUGCAUAUAUAUGAAUUUAUAUAAUAACCCGUAUAAUUUAUACGUAUGGCAUAAUACAUAUGUCAAAAAAAGAUUCCAUAAUUUUUGAAAACCACUGUUUUGUUAUAUGAAAUUGAAAUUGAAAUUAAAUAAUUUUGAUUUAUUAAUUCUAUUUCUCCUAUGAUACUAUAAUAUUCGUUUGUUUCUCUUUUUAACUUACUUUUAGAUUUGGUGAGUAAAAAGUCUCCUAUUUCUUUGCUCUCAAAUGAAAACCCAAGAACUCAGAAAUUUUGCAGAAUGGCUACUCAAAAUUGGUGAUGGUUUAGCCGGUGAUACAACAGAUGGUGAAUCGAUCGUUCAUAUACCAUCUAACAUUUUGAUUAAGAAUUUUGAGACAGCUUUGGAUGACCUCAUUGAUUUCGUGUAUCCAGAUAUGUUAUCCAAUUUAUCCGUUGAAAAUUAUUUCAAGGAUAAAGCAAUUCUUGCACCAACUUUGGAUUGUGUCACUGAUGUCAACAACAAGAUGACUGCAGGGUUACCUGGACAAGAAAGAAUCUACUUAAGUUCAGACUCUGUGUGUGCUGAAGAGGAAAAUAUAGAAUUUGAGUUAGAUGCUUUCUCGCCGGAGAUUCUAAAUGAAAUAAAUUGUUCAGGUCUACCACCACACAAGUUGGUUCUGAAGGUUGGCGCUCCUGUUAUGUUGCUGCGGAAUAUAGGCCAAACUAAUGGUUUGUGCAAUGGAACGAGGAUGCAAGUUAGAAGAAUGGGAAAUCAUGUGAUAGAAUGCAAGACUUUAACUGGUAACAAAGCUGGAAGUAUUGUUCUUAUCCCAAGACUGAAUCUAAUUCCAAAUAAUGAAACAUUGCCGAUCAGGUUUCAAAGAAGACAAUUCCCAAUUAUCAUGUCAUUUGCAAUGACAAUAAAUAAGUCCCAGGGACAAACUCUAUUGAAAGUUGGAAUUUACCUUCCAAGGCCAGUUUUCACCCAUGGUCAAUUGUAUGUUGCGUUAUCAAGGGUAACGAGUAAAGAUGGUCUGCGAGUGCUGUUGCAAGAUCAUGGACACUUAGAAGAUAACUGCACGAUGAAUGUGGUAUAUAGAGAAGUUUUUGAGAGCCUAUAAUAAAAAGGUAAUACCAAAAUGUCUUACUAAAUCUAUUUAUUUAUUAAAAUUUAUUACUAUCACUUAAAAAAAUUUAGAAAUUCUAGGAACUAAUAGAUGAAUUCUUAUUGUACAUUAAUAGUUUGAGAAUAUUAAAAUUAUCAUAAAAAUUCGUAUAAUUUUAUUCUCUUGACAAACAAUUUUAUAAUUACGUUAAUCAUAUAAUUUUAUAUACAAACAUUGAUACAGUGUUGUUUCAUGUAUAUAUUUUGCAGGUAUCAAAGAAUAGCAUUGAAUUGUUAUUCAGUACUUUUAAAUUAUUUAUUGUUUAUUACAAAACUUUCCGCAUUAGGCUUCUCUAUUAUUUUGUUCUUCAUUUUGAGCUGAUUUUGAUAUUUUUUUACUUCAAAGUAAACCAACAUAUAAAACUUUGUUGGUAGAUUUAAGUAUUACUAGAUUAUUUAUGGUCAUAUUGAGUAUAUAUGCCUGAUUUAUUGAAAAAAGUAGAUUAAAUAACUAUUUUAUAGUUAAUACAAUUAACAUUAUAUUAAGAAAAGAAAAACAACGCAUACAAGUUAUUCUUUUAUUAAUUAAAUUAUUAUAAUUAAAAUGAAAUUUAACAUAACAACUUAAAAUUAUAAUUUUAAUCUUAUCACGUGCAUGGCACGGGUGAUUAAACUUGUAUAUAUUUAUAUAUGGUUUAAUUAAUUUGGUGGUCCUAUAGUUUCGCAAAAAUUUUAAUUAGGUUUUUAUAUUUUUUUUUCUUUUUAAUUGGGUUUUGUUACUAAUUUUUUUAAUUGGGUCCCUAAACUUUUUUUUUUCGAUCCUUUUAUUUGGGUCUUUGCACCAAUUUUUUUUUAAUUGGAUUCCUAUACAAUUAAAGCCAAAUACUGUCAAGAGGGACUUAAUUGAAAAAAAAAUUGGUGCAAAGACCAAAUUAAAAGGAAAAAAAAGUAUAGGGACCUAAUUGAAAAUUUUGCGAAACUAUAGGGACCAACAGAAUAAUUAAACCUUUAUAUAUUUGCUUAAAUAUCACUGCAAUUCUAUUUUUCAGUAGAAUAUAGUGGUGAAUAAAGCUAGUUACGUAUGAGUAGGCAAAGUUUGGAAAAAGAGAAGAGUACAAUGACAAAAAUCUCAUCUUAUUCUGCUAUAUAUGCAUGCUAUAUAUAUACUUAGAAUAACACUUAUUACACCUUUACAAGAGAAAAUAUACCAGCUAGAUAUUCUAAUAAAAUCCUAACAAAUGUUUGUAUAUUUAUACACUUCAACUGAUCAUCAUUUUACCCAUUGUUCUGAAAAUCAAAUCGGACUAGUUGGUUCGAUCAGGUUAACCGGAAAUCAGUCCUCUAGUCGGUCCGGUUGAUGUACAAAACCGCUUGGUAAAAAACUGGCAUAAAAAUCAGUCAUACCGAUAGUAAACCGAUAAAUCGGUAGAACUGAUUGGUUUUUUAACCGUUUUUAGAAUUUAAAAAAAAUGAAAAUGGAUAAAAUAAAUACUACUUGCAGCCCUAACCCCCAAAAAUCCCUAACCCACUACGGCGCUACUCCCCUGUCUCUCUCAGCCAGCAGCCCCUCUCUCUCUCAGCCAACAACAGUCACCGCCUCUGUCGUCGCCGAACUCUCCUCGUUAGCCAGAGGGUUCCUCACCGCCGGCAGUGACAGAUAGAUGGUGCUUCGAGCUCUUGGCCGUCCAUCCUCAUCUCCUCCACGUCGUCGCCUUUGGCCAUCCAUCCUCGUCUUCUCUACAUCAUUUUUGUCUUCGUCGUGUGGACUUGCAGAUCGAAGUGCGGUCGGCUGGAUUCCUCCAUUGUUAGUCAGUUUGCUCGAUCCCGUCUAUUUUGCCGUUCCUCCCUUGCCGGUAGUCUUGCCGCCUGUUUCAUUCCUCCGUCACGUCAGUUUGGUUCCUCUGUCGUCGAUAGCUCUACUUUAGUUUUUCCCUUUUGUUAAUUUCUAUAAUUUUGAGGUUCUAUUUAUUAAAGAUUCAACUCUGUUUGCUUCAAUUUAUGGUCGUGUAUUUUGUUAAUUUUACUGAGUUACUGAAAUCUAAGAUCUGAUUCUUGAGUUGCUGUUUUUUUCUGUUUGUUGUGUUCUGAAUUUGAAUUGGGGUGAGUUGAUAUUUUUUUCUAUUUGUUGUAUUCUGAGUUUUGACUUCUGAAUUAGAGUUGGUGGUGGUAUGAUUAAUUUUGUCAUGGUGUUUUACAUUGAUCUGCAUAUGAUCUACAUAUGAGGACAUACAUGUGUUACAGCUUCUUUAUACAAAUUUGUUAGACCUAGCAGAAAGGUUGCAAAAGACAUGCCCAGAAAUAGAAUAAAAUCUUCACCCUCAUGCCCUCAUCUUUAUUUCCUUCCAUUUCUACAUUGUUAAUUCUACAAUGAUUUCUUUCUUUAAUUUCUCCUUUUACCCUAAAUUUAGGAAAUUAAACGUUGGUUUAGAUUUUCCUUAUUUUAAUUUUGAAAAGAAUAAGAAGAGAUCAGAUUUUAGUUUACUUACCAGAUAUUGUUAAGGUAACAAAAAAGGUCAUGCUACAUGUUUCAUUGUAUGUUUAAUUUUUAAUAGUUUUAUUUAAUAUUUAAUUAAACCGGUUGAACUCCGGUUGAAUCCCAGUCGAACCUUUGAACCAAUGAACUAAUCACUCUACCGGUUCAUUGACCGGUCCGGUUCUCACAACCUUGAAUUUUUACCACGAUAUUUUUUCACACUAGAAUAUUCUUCAGUCACACCCCUCAAGCUUGGGAGCAUGAAAAUUAAUCAUUCCUAUUUUGAAAGUGCAAGAAGAAAAAAGAGCAGGAGUUAGAGAUUUUGUAAAAAUAUCGAUUACUUGAUUGGUCGAAAAAGUUGGAAGAAGUUUCAAUACUCUUUAUUGGACUUUAUCAUGCACAGCAUGACAAUCAAUUUUGAUGUUCUUGGUUCAUUCAUGAAAGACCGGGUUCAUGGCAAUAUGCAAGGCUAAGUGAUUAUCACUGUAGAAUGUAAUUAGACGUUGGAGCGAUAGCUUGAAGUCUUGCAACAGAUAGGAGAGCUAAACUCCUUCACAAGUAGCAAGUGUCAUUGAUCUAUAAUCAGUUUUCUCGUGCGACUGCGUGUUGGUUUUUACUACGCUAGCAUAUCAGUGAGUUGCCAAGAAAGAAACAAAAACCUAAGACAAAAGGGCAAGUGUCAGGACAUCAUCCCCAAUCAAACUCAGAGAAAGCAGUAAAUGUGAGAUCAUUUGAAGUAGAAAGCAACACGCUUUUUGCUAGAACUUCUUUAAGAUAUCAAAGGAUAUGGAGGGCAGCUUGAAAAUUCUUGGUGGAAUAAUAGUCUAGAAAUUGACUUAGCUUACUCGCUGCAAGGCAUAUAUCUGAACGGGUAUUUGUUAGACAGACUAAAUGACAUACAUAUCAAUCUUCUGUAAGGUCUCACAUCAUCAAGAGGGAUCCUUGAUUCCUAGAAAGCUACAUUGUAUAGUCAAUUGGUGUAGCUAUUAGCUUAGCAUUGAUUAACUCAAAUUCAUCAAGAAGAUCCAAACCAUUUUUUUUGGUACAUAGAUAUGCCUUGCUUACUUCUAGCAAUCUCAAGUCUAAGAAAGAAUUUCAAAUCACCAAGGUUUUUAAUUUUAAACCUAUCAUCAAGAAAUCUUUUAAUUCUCACAAUUUCAGUCCAAUCAUUAUCACUCAGCACAAAAUCAUCAACAUAAACCAAAAUACAUGUAAAAUCUGCAUCAGAUUGUUUAGUAAAUAAGCAACUAUUUGAUUUGGAUUGAGUGUAACCAGUUUGUAUAAGAACACAACAUAGUUUUUGAUACCAUUGCUUGCUAGCUUAUUUCAAGCCAUAUAAAGAUCUUUUCAACUUGCAAACCAAACCAUUUGAAAUUUGUAAUCCAGAUGGAGGCUUCAUAUAAACUUUCUUAAAUAAAUCACCAUGCAAGAAAGCUAAAUUUAUGUCUAAUUGGUACAUAUAUCAAUUUUUCAUUGAUGCAAUGGCUAAUAGAAUCCUCAGCGUAAUGAGUUUUAUCAUUGAACUAAAAGUAUCAAAGUAGUCAAAACUAAUUAUUUGGGUAAAACUUCUUGCAACCAGCCUCGCUUUGUGUCUUUUGACUUCACCAUUCAAUUAGAAUUUUGUUCUGAGUACCCAUUGAUAGUUGAUAGUCUUCUUCCCAAUAGGUAGAGGAGUCAAUCUCCAUGUCUUAUUUUUCUCUAAAGCAUUCAAUUAUUCUCUAAUAGCAUUUUUCCAUCAGUCAUGAAGAAUAGAUUCUUCAUAAUUUCUUGAUUCUAUGGUAAAGGAGAUAACAAUUGAAAAUGCCUUAUGUCAUGCUAAUAGUAUGUCAUAGGACAUAUAUUUGGAUAUUUGGUGCCUGAUGUAGGAAGAUGAUGAAGCUUACUGAGUAGAAAUUGUGAGCUGCAUACAAUGUUACUCUUUUAAAUAAGUUGGUUGUUUUUUUUUCUCUAUAAGAUCUUCUCAAAUUAGUGUUUUGUUGCUGUGUGAUAUGAAAUGAAUGUAAGUUUUGAGAUGGUAGACAUGAAUGUAUAUUAUGAGAAGAAGAAGAUGAAUUUAAAUAUUUUCUUGCAAAUCAGUGUUUGAUGUAUCACUUAUGUCUUGUCUCCUAUGAAUAAGGUAGCAUGUUAGAUGUAGAAGAAUUAUAAUUUGUUUCUAAAUUAGAAUUUAGUGAAAAAACCAGGUUAGUAGAAAUUUCAUCAUCAAUAACAUUUGGAUUGAAGCCAUUGUUUAAAGUAAAAUCAUCAAAUAGAUUAAUUAACAUUUUUAUUUCAUGUUGAAUAUUCGUUUCAGAGCUUUACUUUUGCUUUGAGAUUAUCUAAUUUGUGAUGUAUCCUUAUGAAAAGAGAAGUAGCUUUCAUAAAAUAUAACAUUCCUUGAUAUAAAUAUUUUCUUAGUUUUAAUGUCUAAGUAAAAUAUAUUCUUUUGUACCACUUUAUAUCCAAGAAAAAUACACUUUGUUGAUCUGUGAUCUAAUUUCUUUGUAUGUGCUUGUAAAGUAAAAGCAAAAGCCAGGCAUGCAAAGUCUUUUAAGUAACUUAAAUUUGUAAUUAAAUUGUUGAGAAUUUGAUACGAAUUAAAAUUAUUAAUUGUGACAGGAGGUACUCUAUUAAUAAUAUGAAUAGCUUGUGCCAUUGCAUAGUGUCAAAAGUAGUUUGGUAUGUUAGCAGUGAAGAGAAGUGCACUUGCCAGAUAGCUUAAUAUUUUCUUUCUACCAUACUAUUUUGCUGUGGUGAUCAUUUAGCACAACUUGUUAGAUGCAAAAUUAGUUUUUUUGGUAGAAAUAUUUCAUCAAGAAUUUUGGUCCAUCGUUAGAUCUUACAACUUUAACCAUGACUCCUUUGUGUAUGUAUCAUUUGAAUAAAAUUUUUAAACAAAUUACUAAUUUUAAAUUUAUUUUUCAUGAAAAAUAAUCAAAUGAAUAUACUUUUAUCUUCAAUAGUGGUGAGAAAAUAUUUAUCGACGGAAGUAGAUAGACUAGAAAUGGGACCCUAAAUAUUAACAUGGAUCAAAUCAAAUAAAAAUUUAGAUUUACUAAAGUGAUUGAAAAAGGUAAUUUUUUUUGUUUAGCCAAAUGACAUGAAUCACAUGGUAUAUCAUUCUUAGGAUAUGUAAUGAAUGGAUGAGUUUUUUGUAAUUGUUAAAAUCUAUAAAAUGAAAUAUAUCCUAAUUUAGGAUGCCAAAGAACACUUUGUAAAGUAUAUGUAUGUGAUUUUUCUGAUUUUUCUUUUGCAGAUGCAGUUAUGGUAGCACUCACUAUUGCUUGGAAUUUCAUUGUAUAUAAUUUUCUUUCUAAUUAGUAGCUCCAAUCAUCUUCGAGAUAAGCCGCAUCUAUAUCUCACAGUCAUGAGCAUUGAACAUAAAUCAGUAAGAUAGUACAUUAGUUGCUUUUGAAACUGAAAUUAUAUUGCAUUUAAAAGUAGAUACAUAUAGAACUUCAGUCAAGUAGAAACUUUCUGAAAAAAAAAAAAAAACUAUUCUACAUACGGUUGUAACAGUUUCUAAACCAUUUGACAUAAGACUGGAUUGAUAUAUUUAAGGCGGCCACUCUGAUAAAGUUAUCAAAAACGUCUUUUUUUAAAGACGUUACAUGUGUCACACUACUAUUGGACGAAAUAUUAAACCAGUCAAUAAAAUAUUUUAAGUAAACCAAAAUAAAAUUGGUUUAUUAUAAUUAUCAGAUCCAAUUUGAUUCGAUCGGUUUAUAUAAUCUGAACCAAAUCAUAUUUAAAUCUUUUAUUAAAAUGACAAAUAUAUCCUUAACUUUUAUUUUGCAGACAUUUAAAUUUAUAAAAAUAUAAAAUUACAAUUAAGUCCUUUUUUUUGGUAAUACAAUUAAGUCCUUAAGAAAAAACCCUAAACUCUUGGUAGCCCAAGCCCAAGCCAAGGCAAACCCAAUCUCAAUGGCUCACCAAUUUCUCAAUCUAACCCCAAAAAAGCCAUAGCCCCAGCAAUCAGCAUCUCCUUCGUCUCCUUCGUCUCAUCUCUCUGCUCACUAUCGCGAUCUUAAGCUUUCUCCCUCUCUCAUCUCGGGUCUCGCACUCAAGGUUUUCAUCGCUCUCCGUGUCGCCAGUCGUCACCAUCUCGCACUCAGUCGCACUCGCACGCCUUCCCUGAGCUCGUUGUCGCCGGUGGCAGAAGCACCCAGACCCGGGACUGGUCGUCGUCGUCGUCGCUCCAUGGCUCCUCAACGUCUCGCACUUAGUCAUGCGCCUUCUCGCGCUUGUCAUUUCCAGCGGCAAAAGUAGCCGGUCCCGAGGUUGGUAGUCGUUGUUGUCUUCAUACUUUGAAUCUCGCCGUCAGCUUCCUCCCCGCCCUCAGAUUCCUUCGCCCAACCAGAAGCUGGUCCCCGAUUUGGUGAUUUCCACUAAAUUCCUCUGGUCUUUUUUUUUUUCAUUUUUGUUGCCCUAAUUCAUCAGUGCACUUUGAUUUGAAUUUGUUGCUGAAAAUAUAACUGAACUAGUUUUUAUUUUUGCUGAAAAUCAUCAUUGUCAUGAAUUUGUCAGUAUUUAUUACCACCGAACCUUGAAUAAUUUGUUGAGCUUGUUUCUUUGUUGCUUAAAAUCAUCACUAAGAUGAAUUUUGUACUGAUUAUCAUCAAUGAAGCUUGAAUUUGUUGCUGUCAUACUCAAAUAAUUACUUAGCUAAAUGUUUUUGUUGCUGGAAAUGUGAGUUGAAUAUAUUAGUGAUUGCACCUUGAAUUUGUUGUUGUCUUGCUAAAUAAUCACUUAGUACAUGAAAAUGAAUGUUAAAGGGAGAUUGCUGCCAGAAAUUAAUAUUUCUCCUUUUUUCGAUGAUUUACUGUGUAAUAUCAUGCUUAGUUAUGCUUAGAGCAGGACAGAUUUGUAUGGUUGUUCAUUUUUUUCGAUGAUUUGCUAUUUGUUACAUGUCUUUGGUUGCUACAAACAUGAGCUAAAUACAUAUGAUUCAUUGGUUAAAACAUUUUCUUAUUUUUUCUAAGCUUCCUCUAGUCUUUACGGCGAUUGUUUACACUUUUUAGUCUAUAUUUGUAUCCCAUUGAUGCCCGCCUCCCCUGGUAUUUAUUGUUUGCUUUUGACAUGUGUUCUAAGACUGAGUUUUGACCUUCAUCUUAAACAGAGAUCCUGCAAAUGUCUAUUAGUUUUUAACCUGAUUGCUUAUAAUUCUUAGCAUGAUACACCUCUCAAAUCUAUAAGCUGCUGUUCUGUUGCACAAAGUUUGUGAUGAGCGGAUAAUUUAUACGCUUUUUGGCAUUGUUUUUAGUAUGUUUUUAGUAUAUUUUAAUUAGUUUUUAUUAUAUUUUUAUUAGUUUUUAUUUAAAAUUCACUUUUCUGGACUUUACUAUGAGUUUGUGUAUUUUUCUGUGAUUUCAGGUAUUUUCUGGCUGAAAUUGAGGGACCUGAGCAAAAAUCUGAUUCAGAGGCUGAAAAAGGACUGUAGAUGCUGUUAGAUUCUAACCUCCCUGCACUCGAAGUGACUUUUCUGGAGCUACAGAAGCCCAAAUGGCGCGCUCUCAAUUGCGUUGGAAAGUAGACAUCCUGGGCUUUCCAGCAAUAUAUAAUAGUCCAUACUUUGCCCGAGAUUUGAUGGCCCAAACAGGCGUUCCAAGUCAGCUCAAGAAUUCUGGCGUUUAACGCCGGAACUGGCAUAAAAACUGGAGUUAAACGCCCAAACUGGCACAAAAGCUGGCGUUUAACUCCAAGAAAAGUCUCUACACAUGAAAGCUUCAAUGCUCAGCCCAAGAACAUGCCAAGUGGGCCCCGGAAGUGGAUUUUUACACUAAACACCCUAGCUUACUCAUUUUCUGUAACCCUAGGUCACCAGUUCACUAUAAAAACUACUUUUAGUGAUUCAUCUUGUACCUCAUGACACUCUACACGUUUCUUAUUGUAUUCUCUACGGCAUGAGUCUCUUAACCCCAUUGUUGGGGGUGAGGAGCUCUGCUGUUCUUCAUGAAUUAAUGCAAUUACUACUGUUUUCUACUCUAUCACGCUUGCUUCUAUUCUAAGAUAUUCAUUCGCACUUCAACUUGAUGAAUGUGAUGAUCCGUGACACUCAUCAUCAUUCUCACCUAUGAACACGUGCCUGACAACCACCUCCGUUAUACCUUAGAUUGAAUGCAUAUCUCUUAGCCUCAUGAUUCAGAUCAGAGUCUUCGUGGUAUAAGCUAGAAUUAUUGGCGGCCAUUCCUGAGAUCCGGAACGUUUAAACCUUGUCUGUGGUAUUCUGAGUAGGAUCUGGGAAGGGAUGACUGUGACGAGCUUCAAACUCGCGAUUGUUGGGCGUGUGACAGACGCAAAAGGAUCAAUGGAUCCUAUUCCAGCAUGAUCCUAUUUCACUGAGAGGACGGGAUGUAGCCAUUGACAACGGUGAUGCCCAACAUAAAGCUUGCCAUGGAAGGAGCCUUGCAUGCAUGAAGAAGAAGAUAGUAGGAAAGCAGAGAUUCAGAAGACAAAGCAUCUCCAAAGCCUCAACCUGUUCUUCAUUACUGCAUAACAAGUAUUUAUUUCAUGUUCUUUUACUUUUUACAAUUAAAUCUGAGAAUUAUUGAUAUCCUGACUAAGAGUUACAAGAUAACCAUAGCUUGCUUCAAGCCGACAAUCUCCGUGGGAUCGACCCUUACUCACGUAAGGUAUUACUUGGACGACCCAGUGCACUUGCUGGUUAGUUGUGUGGAAUUGCAAAAGUGUGAUUGUGAUUUCGUGCACCAGUUUGUUGUAGUUCUUUUUGUACAACUUUUCGUAGGACUUAAUAGUCUUUUCUUGGUCAUGUAGGACUAAUACUAUAAUGGUAUGAGGUUCUGUAGGUAGUUCUUAUCAAAUUCCUUAUAUAUAAUAACACAAACUAUGGUCAGUUAGAUAAAAAUCAAGACUUAGAACUAUUUAAGUAGCUAUAUAGUAUAGUCACUUCAAACUAAUUGUUCAUUGAACUGAAUGUGGAAUCCAAUUGUUAACAAUUUCUGCCUUUACCAAGUUUGAAUUAAUUUAUGGUACCUAUAUGCUUGUUGAACUAUCGACAUCUCCAAUUUUCCAUGGCCAUUAUGUCUGUAAUAACUUACAAUGGCCAGUUCAAGGAAUACAACUUAAGCCUUGAUGCCCACAAUAAUCUAACUUGGUCUCUGGGACGUGAAUUCAAUCUUUUGACAGUGACUCUGGACAAGGUUGUCAUUUCAUGAGUGGAAAAUAGUGGAUGCAUGUUAGCAUGAUAUAGUUAGAAAAACUUGAACUACCCUUACCGCUCUUUUUCUAUCCAAGGAAAUAGUCUACAUCUGCUGACAUGACUGUCAUAACAUAUAUAGAGGAAUUAUCGUUGUAAAUUUGUUCUAUUUUUCCUCCCCAAAAAUGUAUAUUCUCAUUUUUCUGAGAUACAACUCGGUCGCAGCUGAUGAUAUGUUGUAUUUAUGGAGUAUAAAAUUAUCUAUAAUAAAGAAUUUUACUGGCCUCAAUUAACGAAAUAUGGGGAUUUAACGAAAUAUGGCGAAAGUGCCUCCAUUCAAUCCGAGUAUAGUUAUUUGGUUACAUUGAUGGUCACCCAAGGGUGUAUUGGUAAAGAUUUUCCUUUAAUGAAACUGCGUUGCAAGUAUAGCUCUACCAACAACAAUCCUCGGGCGUCAAAUUUAGAAGAGGGAUUUGGUUGUCACAAGUUCAACCUCAAUAGAAAUAACCGAAGUAUUCAAACCUCGGGUCGUCUCAAAAGGAAUGGGCAAACAUGUGCUUCAACAUUGGUCAGAAAUCCGGGGUUGUGAGUUAUGAGCAUAAAAAUAAAUGGGAAUCUUAACAAGCAAGUAAUCUUAGAUUGCAAGAAACUAAUUCAAUUAACUAAGCAAUAUAUGAGUCAUUUCAAACUAACAAAGUAACAUCCAAUAUGAUUCUAUUCUAAUCUAAACAAGUAACUAUAACUAAAGCAAGUGAUUGGGAAUUUUGGUUUUCAAGUACGAAUAAUAAAAGCAACUCUUGACUAGGCAUGGGAAUUGGGGUCACCAUCCUUGUCUAAUAACCAUAUCAUGACAAUUAUAAGGAACCAAACUCAUUAAGUCUACUUCUAUACUUGAAGUACGUCAAAUGGUUUGGUCAACAUUAAUCCAUAAGUUCUAACCUUACUACUAAUUGACUUAGUAGAAAGUUAACGUCAAUGGUUAUAAAAUUGACCACUAAGGGCUCCCAAAUCAUCAAAUCCAUUAGACCCAAUGACUCAAGUUUACCCAAUUCCCUUGACCUAGGCCAAGAGUAAAGAGAACUACUCCAUAAUCAAAGUAAACAUUUCGUCAAACACAUGGUAAGCAUUAAUAAAAGACAUGUUCAAAAUAGCAAUUAAAUUGAAAUCAACAAGUACCCACUAACAUUUGUCAACAUACAAUCAUCCAAACAACAUAAUUAAACAUAGAAAUCAUCAAUAUAACAUCAACAAGACAAUAUUCACAACAUUCAUGGAAUGGGUAUAAAAUGAUAAUUGACAAGAAUUCUUAAAACUAUCACAAGGUAUAAGCAAAACUAUACUAGGAAAUUCAAAUUGAACAAUUAAAACUAGUAAUUAACAAGAUCCAAUUCACAAUUUAACAAGGGAAGAUCAAAUUAAAACUAGAUCUAGAGAGAAACAAGGGUUUCUCUCUCUAGAAGAACAAAAGAACCAAAAACUAGCUAAAAAUUGUGUCUUAGUGUAAAAUGGUUGAUCCUCCCUUUUUCCCGUAGCAUCCUUGGGUCUUUUUCAUGCAGAAACAGCUUGAAAUUGGGCCUGAUGAGCCUCAGAAAUUUCCAGGCACGAUUUCCUUUAAUGAGGUCACGUGCAGCUUCCCACGCGUGCGCGCCAUGUGCACGUGCGCAUCGAUAGGAAUCUUUUGAUCCGCGCGGAUGCAUCCAUCCUUGCGCGCCGCUUCCAGCCAACCUCAUCUACGCGUGCGCGUGGAGUGCGCGGGCGCGCCAAUGCUGCUUUUUCCAAAAUUUCAAGUCUUCAUGUUCCUCCCUUUUGUACAUGCUUUCUUCCUCUCUUCUAGGCCAUUCCUACCCUAUAAUUCCUGAAAUCACUCAACAAAUAUAUCACGGCAUCGAAUGGCAAUAGAAGAGGAUUAAACUAUGGCGAUUUUGAGGCAAAAUAAGCAUGUUUUUCAUCAUGGGGGCAAUAUUAGGAAGUGAACAUAAAACCAUGCAUUUCUUGUGAAUAAGUGUGAGAAAUAUUGACAAAAUCUCCCAAAUUCUACACAAUAUAAACCACAAAAUUGGGGUUUAUCAAAUCUCUCCACACUUAAACCAAGCAUGUCCUCAUGCUUAAAAUACAAAGACCAAAGAUCAUGGUGAGAAAGGGUUUAUGAAAUGCAAACUACCUAAGUGGAUGCAUGCAACUAAUGUAAAAUCAUCUACCUACUUGGUUAAGAGUAAAUCUAUCCUCCAAGAAUACAUGUGAGCAUAUAGGGUGAAAAUAGUACGUAAUUCAUGAAUCCUACCAAAUUGAACAUCACUUAGGGGUGCAUAUGACUUGCUAAAUGAACGCUUGUGAUAGCCGGGAACAAAGAAUUGAGCAUCGAACCCUUACCGGAAGUGUAUCCGCUCUAUUCACUCAGGUGUAUAGGGUUCGUUGCUCAAUCUUCUCCUAAUCAUGCUUUCCAAGAUUUGUCUUUCAUCUAAUAAUCAGCAAUCACUUAAUGCAUGCUUACAAGUAUCAUGAGGUCUUAUUCAUGGGUUGUAACGGGGCUAGGGUGAAGGUAAGGAUGUAUAUGGCCAAGUGAGCUUAAAAUUUGAGUCCUUGAUUAACCUAGGAUCCCACUAGACACAUAGAACAACCUAUACAACUAUAAUACAUUACCUAGCUACCCUUGAGUUUCACUUUCUUGCAUACUCAUGCAUUCUUUUUAAUUCACACCCAUUUGUAUUGUUUUCUUCAUUACUUUGUCUUGGGGUUUCUUUGUCCCCUUUGUUGCUUAUAUUAUUAUUUUUUUUAUCCCCUUUUCUUGGGGCCUUGUGAAUAAAAGUUUCAAUGUAUAUAGUCCAAUCAUUCAAUGCAUGAAUAUGUUCCAAAAUCCUAGAAUUUUCAAUUACACUACAAUUACACACCUAUAUAUCUACCCAAAUUUCCCAAGUAUACCCUAAUUGAAUGAUACACAUCCUAACUUACCUAAGCCAAUCAAGGAUCCAAAUUUAGGGACAUUCAUGGUUUUUCGCUUAGGGUUGUUGAUGUGCUCUAUUUAAGAACAAAGAAGGGUUUAUUAUGGGCUCAAAAUUGGUUAGCAAUGGUAGAUAAGAGGGUUAAGGCGAUUUGGGAAAAAGUGACUAUUGAAAUGAUGGCCUCAAUCAUGUAAAUGCAUUCAUACACAAAGUAAUGGACAUAUAGAAUCAGACAAAGCAAGGAUCACAAUCAUAGAGAGAGAGAGAGAUAUGCACACAAGAAUGGAAUUAAUGGUUAGAAGGUGUAACCAUGCAAUAGGCUCAAAACUUUCAUGCUUGUGUUCUUAGCUCAAUCACUAUGUUCCAAAAUACAUUCUUAAAGCAAGUUUACUGCAAAAAUUUUCAAAAAUUUGGUAGGGUAGGGUACCCCAAAACACAGUUUCUUGGAAAAGAAGUUAUUGUUUUGACCAAGUAACUCUAUAGAAACUAACUAUCAUGCAAGGAGUAUUUACAAGCAAAACUAACUACACAUGCAAUGUACUAACUACUAAGCAAAAGAUAAAUCCAUGGGUAUUGAAGGAAAGAGAUUGUUACCCAUGGAGAUCGGUCGAACGACCUCCCCACACUUAAAAUUUAGCACGGUCCUCCGUGCUAUGAACAAUGCGCAAAGGGCCGUCGGGACCGGAACCGUCACUAUCCUCUCCUUCAGAGCUCCCAUCACUCGGGUUUGAGGUCGAUGUGAAUAUUUUGGGUUCCUCCAUGCUAGGGGUAACACAACGCAGAAGCUUCUUGAUGUAAGUAUAUCGGCGUUGAUUGCGCCGCUCAUAUCUAUCAAGCUUUCGAUGAAGAUCUUCUAUCCUUUGAUGUGUGGAUCUUUGCCGUGGUGGUGAUGAUGAAGUGGAAGGAAUAGUAGGUAGAAGGGCUAUGUCAAGGCUUGGGUUGUUCAUGGAAAGAUGUAAGUAUUUUCCGGUUGGGACCACAUCGCCCUUAGUCGGAACUAUAAUCUUUCUGUCCUUUGCUUCCCAAGGAACACCCGCAGCAGCAACUAAAUCAGAUACUAAUGCUGGAAAUCGUAAAUUACCCCGGUCAUGAACUUGACUCAUCGCUUGCUUGACAAGAAGCGGAAUGUUCACCGGCUUCUCCGUGAGAACACACCAAACGAGCAAGGCGAGGUCUGCCGUGAAGGACGACUUGUGGGUGCUAGGUAGCACAUAGUGAGAUAGGAUCUGGGCCCAAGCUCUAGCUUCCACAGUGAGAAAGCGAGCAUCAAUGCUCUUGGGCCUCAUCCGGAGUCGACCUUGGGUCCAAAAUGUCUCUGGCUCAGCAAUGACUCGAAGGAUCGAGUCCCAAUCAAAUCCAAACUUCUCUGGCUGGCGUAAGACUUCUUGGUAGCCAUCCAUGUCACUUGGUACCGGUAGGACAUUAAGCACUUGCUGAAUAGCCUCUUCCGAAACUGAAACUUGCUUGCGGCGCAUGUACACCAAUUGAAGGGAGGAAAGAUGGUAGUUAGUGUAGAAUUCUUUAACCCAAGAGAGGUUGAUUUCCCUUGGUUUCCUCAAAAGAAACUCCCAUCCUCGUCGUUCAAUGCGGGGUAAAAUGCAAGGAGCAACCUUGUCCGGCGGAGCAAGUAGAUGCUCGGGAUUAUAGUUCCGAACAGCUAUGGAGGGGAACAUAAGUUCACAGAAGCGGUUGGGGAACCUUGAAGAAUCUUUCGCCGGCUUGCUCUUUUCCUUCUCAUCAAUAGGAGCGGGUGUCUUUGCUUUCUUAGUUAAGGAUCCGACUCUCGAUGAAGAGUGCGCCUUAGAAGUGGAUCUUUGGGGUGCCCUCUUUGCGGCUGGUUUCCUUGGAGUUUUUGCCUUGCCUUUCGCGGUGGCCAUCCUAAGAAAGGAAGGGAAACAGGAAAACAUUAAACCCAAAGUGUCAUUUUAAUAAAAACAUGCAAGUGAAGGAUAGGAAUCAUAAAGACAUGGGUCACAACACUUGGCAUGGGAUGCAAGAGGAAGUAAAGCAUGCAGUGGCAUGAGAGGAGUAAUCUCAAACAUCCAUAACAAAGAGCAAGUCAUAUUCAAUGAGUAUCUAAUUAGCAAGCAAAGUGAACUCAAUGCUUGUAGAGGAUAACAAGUGAAUGAGGAGAAGCAUACAAUUGAAAGUACAUUGUCAAAAGAAACCAAAAUGGUAUUCUUGCAUUUCCUCAAACACUUGGUGUGCAAUUAUUAAGCAAAGAGUAAUUAUGAGAUACUUAAUCAAUUUAAAGCCCAAAAUGGAACAUCAAUCAUCACAUAAACAUCACACAUUGGCAAAGAUAAGAAAAAAGAAUGAUAAAAGAUCUAUUAAAGCAAAUUAAACUCAAUUCAACAUCCAUGGAAAAAUAAGGAAAAAGGAAAAAUAAGCAAAAAAAAAAAGAAACAUCAUCAUGUAAGUAAAAGAGAAACUAAGUAAAGCAACAAGAAGCAUCUAACUAGAAGAAAUAAUGCAAAGAAAAUGAAAGAAAAGAAAUGAAAGAAGUGAAACCUUGAGAAGUAGAAAAGAACAAGGUUGAAUCUUCUUUUGUGAAGAUGAGAAAGAAGAUAAGAGAAGUGUAGUGCCACCAGAAGAGGUGGUUGUCGCCGGUGAGUGGCCGGAGACAAGGGUGUGGAUUGUGGAAGAAGAAGAAGAAGAGGGGUGUGAUGGAGGAAGAAGAAAAGUGGAAUUAAGAAAGAAAAGGGUUGGGAAUUGGGAAACAGAACAGGGCGCAAAGUUAUAAAACUGAUUCGCGCAACCGGCGCGCGCGCACACAGUGCGCUGGCGCGUCAGUGAGGGUGUUAGCAAGGGCCGCGUGCGCGGCAGUGGCGCGCAUGCGCGAGGGGAGUUGUGCCCCUGACACAGAAGUGGCACAAAGUUGGCAUAAGUCUCUGGAUUUUGUACCAGAGUUGGUGAAUGGCACAGGCGCGCGGACGCACACUUUGCGCGGACGCGUGCUUGAGAGAUUUCGCGGCUGGCGCGGGCGCGCACAACGCGCGAACGCAUCAGUUCUGGCAUCAGGUUGGCCCAAAUGUGGCACAACUCUCUGGUUUUUGUACCAGGGAGUCCAGAUGUCACCAUCGGCGCGCGCGCACAAUGCGCUUGUGCGUCGAUGGUUAAAUUGUAAUGGCACGCGCCGGCGGCAAGUACGCGGACACGUGAGUACCUGGCGCGAGUUGGGCACAGAAUGGGCAUAACUCUCGGGUAUUUGGCCCAAGAGGUAGAAUUGCGCCACACGCGCGCGCGCGCACAGUGCGCUGGCGCGUCGGUGCUCAUUUUUCAUUUUUCUAUCUCUUUUUUUUUCAGUAUAACAAGACCUAUUCUAACACAUUCUUGGUAGGUGCUUAAGCUAGUAGCCAAAGAGAAUUCUUCACAAUAUCAUUCACAAUCCAAAAUAUAGCAUUCUCCCUACUUCACUACUUCAUCCAUACCAAAAUGAGGAAAACUACAUUAACAUUCUAACUAUUCAACAAGAAGACUAAAACUAACAUUCCUAUGCAAUCAAUCAAUCAUCAAGAAGUCACAAAAUUCACAAGAAAUUGAAGGUUACACACGAGAUGGUAUAAACAAGGAAGAUCUUACCACGGUGGGGUGCCUCCCACCUAGCACUUUUCUUUAACGUCCUUAAGUUGGACGGUCCUUUUCUUAACCUUCUUCUCUCCUUGGUGCAUCCUCCAAUAGGUACACCUCUAGCUCUUUUGGGGGCUUGUAACCAUGAUACUUCUUCACUCUAUGUCCAUUCACUUUGAAAUUUGCUUCACUCUUGGGAUCAAACAACUCCACCACUCCAUAUGGCUUUAUCUCCUUCACCUUGAAAGGUCUUUCCCAUCUAGAGUGGAGCUUGCCAGGCAUGAAUCGAAGCCUUGAGUUGUAGAGGAGGACUUCAUCACCUUCUUGAAAGUCCUUCUUCCAGAAGUGAUGGUCAUGAAAUGCUUUGGUCUUCUCUUUAUAGAUCCGGGCAUUCUCAUAUGACUCAUUCCUCAAACACUCAAGCUCCUCUAGUUGUAGCUUCCUAGCUUCACCCGCCUUGACUAAAUCCAUGUUGCACUACUUUACCGCCCAAUAGGCUCGAUGCUCAAUCUCCACCGGAAGAUGGCAUGCCUUACCAUAGACGAUCCGUAAGGGACUCAUACUUAUCGGAGUCUUGUAGGCCGUUCUAUAUGCCCGUAGUGCAUCUCCUAACCGGAGGCUCCAAUCCUUUCUUUGUGGAUUAACCACUUUCUCCAAAAUCCUCUUAAUUUCCCGAUUGGACACUUCUGCUUGUCCAUUUGUUUGCGGAUGAUAAGCAGUAGCAACCUUAUGUGACACUCCAUAGCGCUUGAGCAAUGCUUCUACCUUCUUGUUACAAAAGUGGGAUCCAUGGUCGCUCACAAUUGCUCGUGGCGACCCAUAACGGCACACAAUGUGAUUCCUAAUAAAAGAAACAACGGCAUUGGCAUCAUCAAGGCGGCUAGGUAUGGCCUCUACCCACUUUGACACGUAGUCAACCGCUAACAGAAUAUACAGAUACCCACUAGAGUUGGGAAACGGUCCCAUAAAGUCAAUGCCCCAUACAUCAAAUAUCUCACAGAACAACAUAGGUUGCUAAGGCAUUUCAUCCCUUUAGGAUGUGUUUCCCGACCUCUGACACUGAUGGCAAGACACACACAACCGGUUAGCAUCCUUGAAUAAGGUUGGCCACCAGAAUCCACAAUCCAACACUUUUUUAGCGGUCCUUUGUGGGCCAAAGUGGCCACCACAUUCGGACGAAUGACAAGCUUCAAGAAUUGGUUGGGUUUCAGAUUCCGGGAUACAUCUUCGAAUUACUUGGUCCAUGCCUCUCUUCCACAAGUGAGGGUCAUCCCAAAUACAGUAUUUGGAAUCACUCCUUAACUUGUCCCUUUGGUUUUUCGAAAAGUUGGGAGGGAAGAUUUUCACAACCAAGUAGUUCGCCAUUGGGGCAAACCAAGGAAAGCUAUCCGACACAGAAUGCAAACUAUCCAAUGGGAAUGAGUCAUUGAUUGAAAAUGGAUCAAAUUUUAAAUUCUCAAUGCGGCUUAAAUGAUCCGCAACCAAGUUUUGAGAUCCACUCCAGUCCCUAAUCUCAAUGUCAAAUUCUUGCAAAAGCAAGAUCCAACGUAUGAGUCUAGGCUUUGACUCAUUCUUUGUCAAUAAGUACUUUAAAGCUGCAUGAUCUGUGUAUAUCACUAUCUUUGACCCUAGCAAAUAAGAUCUGAAUUUAUCUAAAACAUGAACAAUAGCUAAGAGUUCUUUUUCAGUAGUGGUAUAGUUGGAUUGUGCUGCAUCUAGUGUCUUGGAAGAGUAAGCAAUGACAUAAGGGAGUUUACCAUCGCGCUGUGCAAGCGCGGCACCUACAGUAUGGUUUGACGCAUCGCACAUUAUCUCAAAUGGCAACGUCCAGUUGGGGCCUCGCACAAUUGAUGCCGUGGUAAGAACUCUCCUUUGCUCUUCAAAAGCUUUCACGCAUUCACUAUCAAACUCAAAAUCCACAUCUUUUUGGAGUAGGCGCGACAAUGGCAAAGCAAUCUUGCUGAAAUCCUUGAUAAAGCGCCUAUAGAAUCCUGCCAAGCGGUCUAGCAUCUGAUCGAUGAAGGGUAAGGGAUAAUGGUCCUUCCGUGUAGCGGCGUUCAGUCUUCUGUAAUCAAUACAUACUCGCCACGCAUUUUGUACUCUUUUAGUGACCAUUUUACCGUCGUCCUUCUUGACCGUUGUAAUGCCCAACUUCUUGGGGACAACUUGAACCGGGCUCACCCGCUCACUGUCGGCUAUUGGGUAUAUGAUACCCGCAUCCAGUAAUCUGGUGACCUCUUUCUUCACUACAUCGAGGACGGUUGGGUUGAGCCUCCUUUGCGGUUGCCUAACUGGCCUAGCUCCAUCUUGGAGAUAUAUCCUAUGCAUGCACUUGCGGGGGUCAAUUCCCACAAUAUCCGCUAGGCUCCAUCCUAUUGCUUUCUUGUACUUUCUUAGAAUAUCUAGGAGUCUCUCUUCUUCUUCACUUGAAAGCUCACUAGCAAUAGUGACCGGAAAUCCUUGGUUGUCCUCUAAGAAAGCAUACUUCAAAUGAGAUGGAAGGGGCUUCAGUUCACUUUUUACUUCAAGCUGGGGCUCCUUUUCAUCAAGCUCAUGGAGUUCAUUCAUGAAAACUUUCUCAUGUUUAUCCUCUUGGUCAUUCGUCUCCUCAAUAAUAGGGUAGCACAACUUGUUGUGGUCUUCUUCUUGCACUUCUGCUACCACUUCAUCAAUUACAUCAUAUCGGAACACAGAAUGUUCUUCGGGAGGAUGUUUCAUGGCUUCCUCUAAAUUGAACUUGAUAGUCUUGUCUCCAACCUCAAAGGAAUAUGUGCCGGUGAAGGCAUCUAACUUGAAUUUAGAGGUCUUGAGGAAGGGUCUACCAAGUAGAACAGAGGAUGAGCUUCUAUUUUCUGUUGGGGGCAUUUCAAGGAUGUAAAAGUCAACCGGAAAAACCAAAUCCUUGAUCGCCACAAGUACAUCUUCCGCUAUCCCCAUCACCGUGAUCACACUUUUAUCGGCUAAGGCAAACCUUGCCGCCGACUUCUUUAAUGGAGCUAAAUUCAACCGCACAUAGAUAGAAAGUGGCAUGAUACUUACACAAGCUCCCAAGUCACACAUAUAAUCAUGAAAAGUGCAUCCACCAAUACAACAAGACACUAAGCAAGGUCCAGGGUCACCACAUUUCUUUGGAAUAGGUUCCAUCAAGGAAGAAAUUGAACUACCCAAGGAUAAUGUCUCCAAUUCUCCUAUCCUAUCUUUGUGUGUACACAAGUCUUUCAAAAAUUUUGCAUAAUUCGGAAUUUGUUGAAUAGCAUCAAGAAGGGGUAUGGUUACCUCAACCUUCUUGAACACUUGAAGCAUGUUUAAAUCGAAUUUCGGUGUUUUCUUCGCCUUCUUCACCAUGGAAGGGAAUGGAAUAGGAAUGGACUCGUCCACUAUAGCUUUUCUCUUGGGUUCCUUGAGGUUUACUCCUUCUUCUUCAUGCCUUUUAUCUACCACCUCCUCUUCAUGUGUAGCUUCAACAACCAUUUCUUCCUCAUGAAUGUCUCCCAUGACUCUUGGAGGUAUCUCCUCUAAUGUAGUUUCCGACCAUAGAGUGAUGGCGUUGAGACCGCCCUUUGGGUUUGGUUGGGGUUAGGAUGGAAGGUUGGAAGAACUUGAGGGUUGGUUGGUGUUGUUGUUGGGAGUUGGUGUUUGGUUGGACAUAGUCAUCUUUGAGAACAUGUUGGUGAGGUUAGCCAAUUGAGUGCCCAAGGCAUCGAAUUGAGCCUUGUUGCUCUUAUCUCGCUUCUCCAUGGCGGCUCUAAGCUCAUCAACUUGAUUGUUGGAAGAUGGAGGAGUUUGGUUUUGGUUUUGUUGUCUAUGGUGUGGUGCUUGGUACUUGGUGUAGUUGUUUUGGUUUUGGUUGGAGUGGCCUUGGUUGGCUUGGUAGUUGGUGUUGUUAUGGUGGUAUUGGGAUGAGGAUUGGUUGUUGUUGUGGGGAGAAGAAGAGUUGUUCCAUCUUUGAUUUUGAUUGCUUCCUUGUGCAUUAUCCCUCCACCCUUGAUGUUGAUUACCACCUUGAUGGUAAUUAUUUUGGCCUUAGGGUAAGGUGGACGGUUGUUGUAAUUCACAUUGGCUACUACAAAAGCAUGUUCCUCUUAAAUUUGAUGGCAUUGAUCGGUGUAAUGUGUGGUGCUAGAGCACAAACCACAAAUCCUAUGAGGGCCUUCAAGUUGAGCAACCGGAGGCGGGGCUUGGAUGGCUUGGAUGGAGUAGUAUUCCUUUUGAUCCUUUUGUAUCUAGGUGAGGAUGGUAGUCAUAUCCCCAAGUGCUUUGGUUAGACUUGAUUCGGAAGGAGAUGGGUCUACCACACCCUUGAGAGGAUUACUUCUCACCCUUGUGUGUUGUGUAGCCUCGGCAACAUCCUUUAUCAAAUUCUAAGCUUCUCCCUCCGUCUUGUUUUUCGAAAGGGAACCACCACUAGAAGCGGUAAGCAAUCUUCUAUCUUCCACACAAAGACCUCCGGUGAAGUAGCUAAUGAGCAAGUGAGUGUUCAUUCCAUGAUGUGGACAAGAUUCCAAUAGCCUCUUAAACCGAGACCAAUAUUCAUAUAAACUCUCUUGGUCUCUUUGCAUUAUGCCCGAAAUCUCUUUCCGGAUGUAGUCGGUCUUCUCCGGUGGAAAGAAUUUAUCUAGAAACUCUCUUCUCAAGAAAUCCCAAUUAGUAGCAAUCUCAUCCGGUAGCGAAUAAAACCAUGUCUUUGCUUGCCCUUCUAGAGAGAAAGGGAAGGCAAAAACCAUGAUAGCCACCUCAUCGGCUCCAUGCCUUCGAGCAGUAGAACAAGCAACUUGAAAAUCUCUUAGAUGUCGGAUGGGGUCUUGGCCCGGCAACCCAUGAUAUUUAGGAAGUAAAUGUAUCAAGCUACCCUUCAAUUCAAAAUUUGGAUCAAGGUUAGGAUACCUUGCUUGCAACGGUUGAAGUAUGAUAUCCGGAGCUCCUUGCUCAUGCAAAGUGAUCUGUCGUAGCUCCGCCAUGUGUGGCUCACCUGUAGGAUGUAAAGAUGUAUUAUUAGUGCCAACAGAAGAAUAGGAAUUAGCGGACUCCAAGUCACUCUCGGUACCGCCUAGUGAUUCGGUAUGUUCCUCAAGAGAGGCCGAAGUACUAGCCGUAUAGUCCAACCUCCGUCUAGCUUGCCGAGUAUGUAACAAAGUUCUUUCAAUCUCGGGAUCAAAAUUGGCUAAGCUAGAAUUCGGUUGAGACUGAGUCAUCAAACUUGAGAGUCAUAGCACAAAUAUAAAAGAAAUCUAAACUAGAGCUAAGUAUUGAAAACAAUUAAAAUAUCAACAAUAUUCACAUAUUCACAUAACCAAUAUCAAGGCCUAUGUUGCAACCAUUCUCCAGCAACGGCGCCAAAAAUUUGAUGGUCACCCAAGGGUGUAUUGGUAAAGAUUUUCCUUUAAUGAAACUGCGUUGCAAGUAUAGCUCUACGAACAACAAUCUUCGGGCGUCAAAUUUAGAAGAGGGAUUUGGUUGUCACAAGUUCAACCCCAAUAGAAAUAACCGAAGUAUUCAAACCUCGGGUCGUCUCACAAGGAAUGGGCAAACAUGUGCUUCAACAUUGGUCAGAAAUCCGGGGUUGUGAGUUAUGAGCAUAAAAAUAAAUGGGAAUCUUAACAAGCAAGUAAUCUUAGAUUGCAAGAAACUAAUUCAAUUAACUAAGCAAUAUAUGAGUCAUUUCAAACUAACAAAGUAACAUCCAAUAUGAUUCUAUUCUAAUUUAAACAAGUAACUAUAACUAAAGCAAGUGAUUGGGAAUUUUGGUUUUCAAGUACGAAUAAUAAAAGCAACUCUUGACUAGGCAUGGGAAUUGGGGUCACCAUCCUUGUCUAAUAACCAUAUCAUGACAAUUAUGAGGAACCAAACUCAUUAAGUCUACUUCUAUACUUGAAGUACGUCAAAUGGUUUGGUCAACAUUAAUCCAUAAGUUCUAACCUUACUACUAAUUGACUUAGUAGAAAGUUAACGUCAAUGGUUAUAAAAUUAACCACUAAGGGCUCCCAAAUCAUCAAAUCCAUUAGACCCAAUGACUCAAGUUUACCCAAUUCCCUUGACCUAGGCCAAGAGUAAAGAGAACUACUCCAUAAUCAAAGUAAACAUUUCGUCAAACACAUGGUAAGCAUUAACAAAAGACAUGUUCAAAAUAGCAAUUAAAUUGAAAUCAACAAGUACCCACUAACAUUUGUCAACAUACAAUCAUCCAAACAACACAAUUAAACAUAGAAAUCAUCAAUAUAACAUCAACAAGACAAUAUUCACAACAUUCAUGGAAUGGGUAUAAAAUGAUAAUUGACAAGAAUUCUUAAAACUAUCACAAGGUAUAAGCAAAACUAUACUAGGUCCUUUUUCCCCUAGCAUCCUUGGGUCUUUUUCAUGCAGAAACAGCUUGAAAUUGGGCCUGAUGAGCCUCAGAAAUUUCCAGGCACGAUUUCCUUUAAUGAGGUCACGUGCAGCUUCCCACGCAUGCGCGCCAAGUGCGCGUGUGCGUCGAUAGGAAUCUUCUGAUCCACGCGGAUGCGUCCAUCCUUGCGCGCCGCUUCCAGCCAACCUCAUCCACGCAUGCGCGUGGAGUGCGCGGGCGUGCCAAUGCUACUUUUUCCAAAAUUUCAAGUCUUCAUGUUCCUCCCUUUUGUACAUGCUUUCUUCCUCUCUUCUAGGCCAUUCCUACCCUAUAAUUCCUGAAAUCACUCAACAAAUACAUCACAGCAUCGAAUGGCAAUAGAAGAGGAUUAAACUAUGGCAAUUUUGAGGCAAAAUAAGCAUGUUUUUCAUCAUGGGGAAAUAUUAGGAAGUGAACAUAAAACCAUGCAUUUCUUGUGAAUAAGUGUGAGAAAUAUUGACAAAACCCCCCAAAUUCUACAUAAUAUAAACCACAAAAUUGGGGUUUAUCAUACAUCUCGUGGUUAAUGUUGUUAGCCUCUUGUCUAAAGCUCUAAUGUAAAGCUUUGAAUCUUUUAAUUUGUUAAAUCAUGUAAAGGGAAUUCAAUUCAGUCAGUUAUAAGAUUUCAAGUGUGAUUAAACAAAAAGGUGUACGGUGUAUUGACGUUUCUCAAGAAUCGCGUUUAGAAAAAAAAGGAGCGCUUACAAAAUUAGAGAUUGCUUUAUUUUACACGAAAGUAAAAGUGUAAAACUCAAGACUAAAAUACAACUAGUUCUCAUAAUAACUGGAAAUUACCUAGAAAUUACAGAGCGAUCGCUUCAGUUUUAAAUAUUUCUGUUGUUACCUAACUAGACGUACACUCAAACAAUACAAAAACCUAGUAGUCAUUUAUUUUUAAAGAAAACUUAUUGAUACAAUGACCAAUGUCCGACUACAUAGGGAAAUUUUUAUUUUAAUGUAAGUAUAAAGUUUUUUAAGAUUAAAAAAAAUUAUUGAUUAAUGCAAUAAUGAAGAAUUAAAAAUAAAAUUAUAUCAUAUCUAACACAUUAGGAAACAAAAUAUCGGUACAACUGUAUCACAAUUGUCUUCUAUUCCUGCUAGAAUGAAAACCACUUUAAGUGGCCCCAAAUUUUUUAUGGCAUGACUAUAACAUUCCAUCACGAUAAAUGAAAUGGCCACACACAGCUUCAGUAUAUUUCUUACUGACCCUCUAAGAUAAUUCAAAUCUAUACAUUUAUUAUAUAUUGUCCAAAAUAUUGUAUAACUAUGUUUCAAUUUAAUUAUGUGCCUAGCACAACUAGCAAAAUUCAAUUGCAACUUGAAGAGAGGAUGCAAGUGAGGAGAGCAAAAAAUGGGAUCCAUGAGGUUGAUGGAAAAGACAAGAAAGCUAUAGACAUAGCAUUGAUUAGUAUAUAUUCAGAGUAACUUAAUAUUACAUAAGAUAAAUUAAAUUCUAUGAAUCCAUAGGAGAUGAUUUCACGUGACUUUGUUAAUUCAAUUGGAUCAGUUGGACUAGUUAUAACACUUUAAAUAUAACAUUUUAUAUGAAAAAUAUUUUAGUUUAAUAAUUUAAACCAAUCAAACCUUUUCAUUAAACAAAAAAAUCAGUCAUUUUUAAUGUAAGAAUCUUUUUCUUAUCUAAUGAUUUUGCUAGUGUAUAUAUCAAUUUUGUGUUGUUUUACUUAAAUCAUGGAUUAUUAAUUGAAAUCCUUAAUUACUUUUUUUUCUUUGAACGAUAAUCAAUCUUUAAGAAUGAAAUCACAUAGUUUUUAUGUCAAAUUUUUCUUUCCUUUUUCUAAUGAUAUCAUCAAUUUUAAUUAUAUAUGAAAUACAAAAUAUAUAUAACUUUUCUUUAUAAAAAUGACCAAUAUCCGACUACAAGUGAAAAUUUUUAUUUUAAUUUUAGUAUAAAAUUAUAAUUAUUAAAAAAAUUAUUGAUUAAUGCAAUAAUGAAGAACUAAGAAUAAAAUCAUAUAAUAUUUAAUACAUUAGGAAACAAAAUAUCGGUAUAACUAUGUAAAUUACAUUAAUCACGAGAUUUUGAAGCAUGAAUAAAAUUUAAAAUAUUAUUCUAUUCUCAAAAUUCAAUCUAAAAAUUAUGUUUAAUAACUUAAUUCACUUAAUUAGAGUAUAUUCAUUAGAAUUAUUUUUGUAAUAAUAGCUAAUGAAAAUAAAUUUAUUCAGGAUCAAGUUUAAAAUAAAAUAAUAGCAAUUAAUAUGAAUUUAAGCAAGUAUUAAAAUAAAAUAAUGAUAAACUAUUGUUGUAUUGAUAUAGUGGCAUCCUGAAUUUGAUUUGUUUAUAGAUUUAUAACUGAGUUAAGGAAGAACGAUAGCCAACUCAAACUUACUUCGUUAACAGUUUGAUAAGUUAAAGUGAUGAUGUUGAUGGCAUAUUUUGAACUUUAAUUUGAACUUAUAUAUUAAUGUGAAUUUAAUAUGGUACUGAAAAAAAAAAUAAGAUUUUUUUUAUGACAUAAAAGAUAGCCAAAGUAAGAAAAAGAGAAAACAAAAAUUUCAUGUCUAGGACGAAGACUGGGAGACUGAGACUCAGUAUCAUGUUUGUUAGUUCAGAAAAUAGUACUAAAAUUUUAGUAUCUGUUCCCAAAAUUUUAGAAGUACCUCCAAAAAGUGGAGACAGGAGACUGAAAUUUGGUGGGACGAAGACUAAAACUUUAAUAAUAUUUUACACCUAAAAUAUCAUCAUUUCAAUUAAUUAAUUUCAAGUUUACUCUGUGUACAAAUUAAAUUAAAGCUUUAUUCUUAUUUUAGUCUCUGUCUCUCAAUCUCAGUCUCUCAGUCUCUGUCGCUCUUCCAAACGCUACCUAACAUAAGCGCUGACGAAAACAAUGGUGAAUAUUAUCUUAUCCGCACUGUCAUCGCAUCGGAUAAGAUCCACACUCUAAAAGGAUCGGUGUGGUUGUAGGACGUAACAAAUUUUCUGUUGGUCUAUGAUGGAUACCAAUCUAGAGAUACCAUUUUAUCAAUACUCUAAAAAUAUAUUUGUUUCUUGAAUAUGAUAGAAAAAAUAGGUUUAAAAUAAAGAAAUAAAUAAAAAAUAACCUAAAAAUAUAAUCUUUUACAAAAAAGAUUAAUAUAUAUAAAAAAAUAAAAAUAAAAAUGAAAAUAAAAAAUAUGAGAUUUUAUUUUAAUUUUAAAAUAAAUGUAUAAAUAAAAAAAAUGCAUUAGUUAUUUGGGAAAUUAUGAAACCCUACUAGCUACUAAACUCUUUGUUUUCAUCUACACUGUUUCAUUUCUUCAUUUUUACUUUCACAUUUUCCUUUUUUCCUUCCCCUCCAUCCACUUCUCAGAUCUCUGAAUCCCCAAUCUACUUGACCAUCACCACUGCCGUUUCCUCUUCUCCGGUCUCGCAUUCCCAAUGCCUCCCCACAUCGCGACAGUCUUCUAUUCUCUUCUCCAGGUCUCGCAUCCCCAAUGCCUCCCCACAUCCCUUCGUCCCUUCAUUUCACCUCAACAAUUGCAGCCACUGCCGUUGAGAUUACGGAGACAAUAUGGCCUACGCAUAACAAUUGCAGCCACAUCCCUUGGUCCCUUCUUUUCACCAUUUCUGAGUGGUGGUUUGUUAUUUCUCAUAGCAACGAUGGAGAUUCAUGGAAGCAGCCACUCUCAUAACAAAUGGGUAAAUUAGAAUUUCAAUAUAAGAUCUUUAAUUAGAAUAUAAAAUCGUAAAUUGGAUUAAUUUUAUUAUUUGGAGGAUAUUUUUAUAAAAAUUACUAGAUUGAAUUUGAUUUUGAAUAUCAGAUUUGAAAUUAGAAUAUUGUUAUUAUUUAUUAGGAUAUCUUUAUAAUAAAAUUAGAUUUUUGCACCAUUUUUGUUGAUUAUCGCUAUAAAUAACAGUGUUUUACGUCAUGUUUUAAAACUAAGCACUCCUUUUUUUCAGGUACAGUAAACUGGAGGAGCAAAGAGGAUGAGUAAGGUAAUCAUACUUGUUUUUGUUAAAUAAAAAAUAUGAUUAUCAAUCUUUUGUAAUCUGUUUUUAUCUUUUAUUCUAAUAUCAAUAUUGAAAUUUAUUUGGUUUGACUAGCAAACACCGGCAGCCUCUGUAACUUUGAAGGGAGAAUCGAACAUGCACUUUUCUGCUUUGGAUGAGAAGGUAACGUAUUUUUUUGCUGUCAUAUCCGAAGAUGCCUUGCUUUUUUAGCAAGUUUUUUUUUAAAGUGUGUAGUUAUCUUUUGUGAUGUCUAGAUUUGCUGUGUUGUUACCUUAUUAUUUAGUAAUGCGUGUCUUAUUUUAUGGCAUCUUGAAGCUUGGAAAGGGUGUUGUCGAGGCAUUGUCAGCAAUAAUACGCAAAGUUGUUGUGAAUGGAAUAACAACGGUUCUGCCAAAGUUUGUGGAAACGGUUGGUUCCUCAUAAAAAAUUGAGAGUCACGGUGUCAAGCUUUUGGAUACUGCUCCAACUGUUACACCACCGUCAGACAGUUUGAAAUGCUUCCUUGACGCCAACCCCACAAUGUAUUUGGGUGAAGAGCCAGUAACGAAAAAAAGGACACCGACGUGCAAAGGAAAAAAGCGUGAAUUACCGGUCUCCGAAGUUAAGGUUUUAUAUUUUUUUAACAAAUGUCACAAUUUGUUUUUUAUUUUUAAUUAUUGUUAUUAAUUUUUAUAAUUAUAUUUUUUAUCAUUAUUCUUUUUUCUUAAAUCCUUUUAAAUAAAAGAAUAAAAAUAAACCAAACUGUUACCCUUACUUCUUAAAUUAAUUGUCAUGUUUUUUGGAUUUGCAGAAAGAAUUACAUUUUGGAGAGAAGCUUCCUCCAGGCCGUUCAUGGCUUUAUUACAAUAAUUACAAUCCAAAUAUGGAUGGAGAUGACAUGCCACAUGUAAGUUUUGGUCUUUAGGAUAACAUUGUUAUUAAUAGAAUUUUGUGUAUACACUUUGACUAAAUAAUUAAUGUUGACAUUGUUUUUAUAGUGUUUGGACUUUUUAUUUCGACCAACUAAAGAGAUAAAAUUUUUUGAAUAUGAGCUGGCCAUUACUGCUUACAUUUUUGGAAACAAUUUGGAUCCAAAGUAAGUAAAAUUAAUUUAUUUCUCAUUUUAAUUGUUGAUUUGUCAUGUAAUUAUUUUUUUAACAUUUUCUAACACUAUAGUAUAAUAUUCUUUUACAUGAUUUAAGGGAAGUGCUUAUUCCAGACGAUCAUUGUAUGGGCACACGUGAGACUCUUCUGACUGUUAUGCCCGGCAAGCCAAUAAUUGGUGAUGUAAGAAUCAUUUCAGCAGUAUUUCUUUGUUAUGCUUGCAAAUUUAUAAAAUUUGGAUUAGUGCAACAUAACCGUGAUUGUCUUUUAUCCAUAGGUCCUUACCUUAGUUUGUUCGAUGAUGACCAAAAGGCCAUUUGGGCCAAAUAAAUUCAAAUUAGACAACAAAUGAUUUUUGCCACCGACAUUCUCUGUAAGUUUAUUAGCAAUUCAAAAUUUACUCUUCAAUAUAAAUAUAUCUUCCUAGUUAAUUUAUAAAUAUAAUAAGAUUCCUCACUUAGUUCAAUAUGCAAGGUAGCAAAUUGUUUUAAGUUCGAAACAGAAAUGUUCCGGCAUAAUGAAAUACAUCAAGGAUAACUUUAUGGGAGACCUCGACGGUUUACACGAGGUUCGUUAAUUCCGAUCAACAUUCAAUUAAUUGGAAUAUUAAUAUUUCAAUGCUGUUUUUAUUAAAAAAUAUUUUCUGAAUGUUGUAGAUUUUUGUGCCAAUUCACCUUAAUGGUCAUUGGUUUUCUCAUAGUGGUUAAUUUGCUUUAUGAAACCGUGAGAUAUAUGGACUCGUUCAAGCGUGGUACAUCGAUGACAGAGCGUAAGAAAGUCAUUGACGAUGUGUUAACUUAUCUUGAGAAGUUUGUAUCCGACAAAAACUUCCAAGAAACACCUUCACAUAAAAACCUUCAAUUUUCUAAAUAUAAAUUCUCUAAGUCAGCUGUCCCGCAACAAAAGGCCAAGUCGUAAGUUUAAAAAUAUGAAUUUUUAGAGUACAAGUUAAUUUUUCUGGCUGUUUGUUCUUUUAUAUUAUUGCUUUGUUAAUGUGUGCCUUGAAUUGUGGUGAAGGAAUGAUUGUGGUAUUUGGGUCACUGAAUGGAUGAUCCUCAACCACUAUUGGGGCGUCAAUAAGCCAUGGGUAGGAAAAUCGUCUAUGGAUUUUAUAAUGUUUAGUUUGUUGGGUUUAUUUAAUUAAAUAAUAUCAUUGUAACUGUCUGUUAGGUUGUCAAUGAUUACUCAAGGAUGUGAUUGGCUGUAGAUUUGGUGUACAAAUGGCACAAUCCGAAACGGGAUAUGAUAAAAGAGCUUGCUGUUGCUGACUGGAAUAAAAAGAUGCAGCAGUCUGUCCUUCAAACUUAGGAUUUUAAGACGCCUCUAGUUAAAAUUUUAUUAAUCGUAAUCGUGUAUUUUAAGAACACAUUUAUUUAGUUAAGUUAUGGAUUGAUUAGGCCAUUUUAAAUUUGUUUGAAGUACACUUUAUCUUUAUAUUUAAAUCUAUAAUAAUUUAUAUAUUACUGUUUUUGGACUAUUUAGAUAUAUAUUGUUCUUUUUUAUUUAUAAUAAUUUAUACAUGAUCUUUCUAGCAAUUGUUUCAAUAUUAUUGAACCUAACCUAAAUUUUAAGUUCAGUAGUAUACUCUAUAAUUUAGAUAUAUAUUAUUGAAUGGAUGAGAAUUCCUUUAACCUUCCAUGAUGCAGUCGCAGUGGUUAUGGUAACAACAAUUACUAUGUUAAAAAUCUGAAGUGCAUAUGGCAGAUAUUGUGGUGGCAGGUACUUUUGCAUUUUAGUAAUAAGGAAUGGUUAGGGUGAGUUAGGUAAUUCUGUUAUGGCCAUUAUAGAUUAUUUGCAUUAUAGUGUUUCUAUUCAAUUUUUUGUGUUACAGCAUAGUACUAUAUACUUAUCCUUUGUGUUUGUGAGAAAUCUUUUGAGUGCAAACUGAAACAGAACUUUGUGGUUGUGGCAGCCUACAAUAAAUCCAAUUUCCGCAGCUGCUGCUAGUAGUGCUGCAAUUUUAGAAAGGGCCCCAUCUGUGGUAGCUAUGGAUGGACUGGCACCAUUUUUCCUGCAGUUCCUCUUUUGAAAUUUAUUUAUUUAUUUCUGUAGAUCCUUGAAGCUACCUAAGAAUGUACGAGUAACCAAGGUAUGUUCUUUACCUUAGGCAUACAAUAUUGGAAGUUUAGUGAAACUUAGUUGUUUUAUAAAUCAUUUUAAUAUCUGGAUAUAUUUCCCUUUUUUAUAAAAGAAAUUUUAGUAUGAAGAGAAGAAAGGAAAAAUAAAAGAAAAAUAAACCUCACAUGCAAUUUCCUGGAUAAGUGCUACCUUUGGUGGAUAAUGUUAAGCCCUCCCUCAAGUUUCCUUCUUCUAACCCCCUUACCCUCUUCAAACUAAGUAAUAUGAUCAUCUCUAUCCCUAUUAUGACAGAUGUCAAGGUUGAUAUACACUAAUUCAGGGAAUGCUAUUCUGGCAUUAGCUUCAAAUUCCAUUCAUCUGCAACCUUUCCUGCUUUCCAUCCUCAGGAUAACAAUAUCAUUGCUAUAGGCAUGGAUGAUUCUUCAAUUCAGAUAUAUAAUGUCCGUGUAGAUGAGGUAUGAUUGAUGUUCAUAAACUGUUUUUGCUAACUUAUGAUUUGUGUAAUUUAGUGUUUAUGCAUAGCUUUCUUAUUUGCAGGUUAAAAGUAAACUCAAAGGCCACACUAAAAGAAUCACAGGUCUUGCUUUCUCUCAUGUAUUGAAUGUCCUAGUUUCUUCUGGGGCAGAUGCUCAGGUAAUAGUCGUUCAGUGUAGAUUUGCCUCCACAAUCUGUUGAUUAAUUUUGCCUCCAAAAUCUGUUAAUGCCUUGUUUGAUGGAUGUUUUAUCUAAGUUUGCAAGACAUUCCUUUCCUUGCAUUAUUAAUUUGUUUUAGUUAUAAUUUUGGAAAUACAGAACAUUUUAUAGGUACAAAUUUCAUGUAGAAUUGUUUAAUUUAUAAUCGUUAUUCAUUCUCUAUUGGAAGCAAGCAACUUGAUACUCUGCUUUGAAGUCCUUCAAAGUCCACAAUAGUUAUAUAUGUGCUGCAAGAGACUUAUGUGAAGAUAAUUGAGUAAAGAUAUUCCAAAUUGUUUCGGUAACAGCUUUUUAGGCUGCCUUGAGCUUCCAAUUCCAAGCUUUUGAGUUUCACUAUUUUUUCACUCUAAAAUGUCUGUUGAAUUUAGAAGUUAAUUAUCAUUGACAAACAUUGGAUUGAAGUAAAUUAUCAUUAAUUAUUAUCUGUGUAUUGUGUUUCAGCAAAAAGAAAGUUUUGAUGAAAGCAACAAUGCACCAAUUAGAAUGCAGCAAGGAGUCUCCCAAUGACGAGGAUUGAAUACAGCAAGAAUGCAACAUUACAGCAUUCUAUAAGUAGUUGAAGCUCUGAAGAAGAAGUAAAGAACAAGUAAAGAACAAGGACAAGUAAAGAAAAAGCUUUGUAAGCCAUUAGAGAUAAGAUUUUGAUUUUGAUUUUGUUUUUGCGUGUUGAAGCUCUAAAGGAGUGGCUGCAUUUUAUAGUUCAGACUUUGGUGUAACUAUGGCGGUGAGUUAAAUGUUUCUCGUGGAAUGCAAUGGCAGUUGCCAACGACUGUGUGAUGGAUGGAGCCUCUUUGUCUUUAGUAGUUGUUAUUUGGUUAAAAUGGUUAGUGUUAUAUGGCCUUAACUUGUAUUACAUGCUAUUUUUGGAAGAUAUUCACCAAUCUCAUAGUGGCUACUAAAUGUAACAUUCACAUGGCUGAGUUGUGUGCUGUAAAAUAUCAAGAAAACUAUGAAUCUUGGAUUUACCUCCAGGUACAAAUCUAGUUGUAAAAAUGGUGAAAAAAUAGUGUUCAAACAACAGCUGGAAUUAUGUAAAUCAUGCACAUAUGCAGAAACAAUCUUUUUAUAAAAAUACCGAGUGAAGAGUACUGUUAUUUGAACAUCUAAAAUUUAGUGAAGCUUUCAAUGUACCUAGAUGAUUAAUCCAAUAUUGAGUUCAUAUUAAUACUCAGUUUUGUGUAAAACAGUGUCAUGCAGCAUUUCAUUUAAAAAAAAAACACAAUGUUCUUUAAAGGCUUCUGCUUUCCACUUAAACACAAUAAGAGUGCAAGCUUGAAACCUAGCCACUAAUUUAAUAAAAUGUUGAGUUCCAUAAUAAAAUCUUAACCGUGAAACCCAAAGCCACUUUAACGGUUGGGAAGUGACAUUGGAAGUUGAACCACCUCAUAAUAAAUAAAUAACACAAAAUCCAAUGUAAAGAAGUAAAUGAAAUUUAUUUCACACAACCAAGCCCUUUCAUAUGCCAGGGUUAGCCUUGGAUAAGCCACGUUGAACUGGGGGCUAUGUAUACCGAACUAUAACUCGUCAAUAAUCAUUUAAAAGCUCAACCUGUCUCCCCCAAAUCAGGCCAAGCUUGGGGCUGUGAUAUGACCAGUAAAAGUCGGUUACGAGUUAUAGCUCGGUAACGCAUAAUCCCCGAUUGUAACCGAACAUGCAGAAUAAUCAGCAUUUAUUUUCGACCAAUAACGUCGGAUACGCAGUUAAUUCUCGGACGUUACAAGAAAAUGAUCAGCUUCAUCCAACCAGAUAUAAGGAGAAGGGCAAGAACCGAAAAGGUAUUCAAUCUUUUCCAAAGCAAAUAUAUACACAUAUAUUUCUUAACUAACUUGAGCGUCGGAGGAUCUUUGCAGGUACCCACCACCUCGGUUCUUCCAUCUCUGACGUAUUUCGUGUUCCACCUUGGGAGUCUGCCGACCUUCAUUGGAGAACGACCUAUAGCUCGGCACAAAUAGGCAAGAACACACAAGAAUAGCACUAUACUGUUGCUGAAUUCAUUUCGUUUAGUGACAUAACUUGAGCCUAGUUUUUUACACUUGAGUAACUAAAUAAAAGAGCAUCAAAACUACUGAGAUUUUCCUCCUUGAAUUCCCUGUUUUGACAAAGGUAUUACAAUUUUAUAAUGUUCUCAUCAAACCAAUAAAUAUUCUAUGAGGCUUGCUUUUGCUUUUCCUCAGAAAAUCUAGGAAGUUGGACCAAUGAGUUUUCUCAGGUGACACCUUCCAAACUCGACCAAUUUUGAUCUUCAGCGGCUACUACUGCUGAAGCUCCAUCCUCACCAUCAACAGAUAUUCCUCCAUAUGUUUGAUUUUCUUCCGCGGUUCAUAAGUAGCCUAAAAAGAAACACAGGAACUAGUUAAAAUUUUAAAUGUUGCAUUCAAAUUCACCAUAUCAUAUGUCUAUUCACUUACAAAAGUAAACAUACACAUAGAUGAGAAUGACAUGCUUUUCUUGCUUACAUGGGUAGAACUAUUAUGCAUAGCAAAAUUUUCCUACAGCAAGUUAUACAUAGCUUAAACUAAGUUACUUUGAUUUGAUGACUUUCACAUGGACCAAAACAACAAAACAAGAAAAAACUAUGCAUCUAGGAAACAGAAAAUGCUGCAAAUGCUCUAUGCUGAGAGACUUUAGCGAUAACUGUAACAUUACUGUGGCAACUGAGACCACAAGAACAAAUAAAAGCAAAUAUAUUUUCGAAAGUCUUACUCCAUCCGAGGCAAGAACAAUGAACUCGUCUUUGUCUGUAAGAAGCCGGUGAGAAAAUUCUGGUAUAGAAAUGACACCGUAAUCCUUCAAACAAAAAUCGCCAAAUGCUCUAGCCAUUGCUAAUCUAGGUGCAUCAUCAAAAGGUAACCACACCCUUGGAACUUCUGGUUCAUCUUGCAAGGCAAAUACCUUGCCCUUGCACCUUUUGAUUCUUUCAGCUUCCUUGUAAAAAUUCAGAUAAGAUAUCUCAAAGCAAAAACAUAGACUGAACUGAGAAAGGAUGAACAAUGAUGACAAAACUAAGUGAUAGAAUAUACUAAAACUAUGUAGGAUGAUUGGUCCCUCCUCAAGAAUCACAUUGACAACAUCAAACUCUGAGGCUCCUGACAUUAAUUUAAUCCAUAAACUAUGCAUUGGAAAACUAAACUUAAGUAGAAAAAGCAGAGAACACAAGAGGCUUCAAUUUUCAAAAGUGUUAACAACUAAAUUUCUAUGCAUUUUCUUUCACAGAACAGAACAUAAAUCUUCAUAAAAUAGAAUAUCAAAAUAAAGAGCAAGGCAACACACUUGUGAUAGUGUCCAAGUUUUCUCAUUCCAUAGCAAGGAGGAAGAAUAUAAGGAACAAAAACCAAUCUUUUUUAGACGGAUUUAGAUUGAUGAUAUUCAAAUUUUAUUAUCAAAACUAAUGAGGCUUGAUGUAAAACACAAGAAAAUAUUUGGAUAUUUAAUCUGUUAUUGAAAUAUUCAUAGCCAACUAAGACAAUAAACCUGUCAUGACAAUUGGAAAGUAAAAAAAGAAAAUAAAUCAGUUUAACAAUCUGUUACUGCACCUAUUUCAGAAGGUAUUAAAUUGCCUAAAAUGCUCAAACAAUGAUUCAAGAUAUAAAAAAUUCUCAUGGAGUACAACCAAACAUUAAAUUGCUACUGGUUUUUCUUUGAUACACGGUCUAGCAGUCCCCAUCAUAUAUCAACCUCAAUGCACUACUGCAUCCUAUUGAACUUCGGAUAUUGUCCUUGUUGUACAACCUGUUCUCCACAGCACAAACAAAUUUGAGAGAAAAAGAAAGGAAUUCAGCAAAUCAUAAUGGAUAUCAAAUAGUUUAAAAUUUACUAAUCACUAAGUUAUAACAAUGCAAUAAUUCAUCUCUUAUUAUUGAUACCUGUAAUAGCCACUGAUUACUUCCAUAUGGUGGGAUGGGAGCCCCAUGGCUAUUAAUCAAUUCUGAGUCACCUAGCCCAAACCCUAACUGCAUAGAUGCAUUUACUUCUGUAUUUGGCACUGCUAAUGUAUCUUGAGAAGUCAUAGUGUCCUUGAGAAGCUCUUAAGAAAAAAUGAUACAUGCAGUCAAAAUUUCUAUCAAGUAUAACUACAACAUAGAAUUUACCAGUUUAUUUUAAUUCGUGUAACCACUAUUGUAAUAUUGUAUCUUACUAACCUCUUCUGUACCGAAGCUAGCUUGCGUCCCUUGAGAAGCCAUAGGAUCUUUGGAAAGCUCCUGUGACAAAAGAAGGCAUAAACUCAAACUUGCUAUCAAGUAUAACUACAACAUAGAAUUUAACAGGUUAUUUUGAUUCAAGUAAAGCAUAAUGCCAUUUUGAAUUUGACUAACCUCUUCUGCACCAAAGCUAGCCUGUAUGCCACCACCAAUCUUAUCACCCAAAUUGUCACCCUCAUUCUUCACAGGACAAUUCUUCUUUACAUGACCAGCAUUGUUGCAUUUAGUGCACCUCCGUUUUUCUCUCUCUUUUUUUCCCUUUGGUGCACCUUUUGUCUUGACAACUGAAGGGUCACCAACAAAGUUCGGCAUGGGAGAAUCUCUUCUUCCUCUUUUCAAGCACGACUUUUGCUCUAGUGUUUUGGUCAAACGAGAGACUUCAUUCAUAGUGUCAUGGAAAGAAGGACCAUCUUGAGCUCCUAAGAAUACCAUCCACGUAGCUGCCAUUGACAAUGCACCAUAGCGCAUUAAAAAUUCUCUUUCUCCAUCUUGCACAGUGCUUCCAGCUGAACUUUCGUCCAGAUACUUUUUGGCAUCCUUGGACCAUCUUCUCAAAAGAAGACUUUCUGGAAACUUCUGUAAACCUACCCUUUUCAUGGCACAAAACAUGUGGCUACAGGGAAUGCCUUCACUACUCCACCUACUACAUUCACACUCCAUAUUCUCGGUGUUGCGCUCAUAAAGUACGGUGUAUAUAUGUUGUCCUCUGUCAUACUCCUUAACUUUUAAAACAACAGUAGUUGAUAUAUUUUCCUAAUUUAUAACAUCUAAUGCAACCACUCCUUCAAUCUCUGUUUUUACUUUGCCAAACAUCUCCCGUGUGUAAAAAUUUGCAGCACAAAGCUCCAAUGCAGCUAAGCGAGUUGUUAACACAGGCUCUCCGUACACCGUCUUAAAUCGAGAAACUAAUUUGUUGUGUCUAUAAUCCCUAAGAGCAUGUUCAAGAUUCUAGACUAGCUCUAAAAGACUUUGACGAAUGCCAAUAAACCUCUUGAUGAAGUUGUUUAUCCCUUCACACCUUGAUGUUGUUCUAAAUCCAGCACAGAAUUUAUCUCACAAGUAGGUGCUUGCCCAGCUUUUCCUCUUUUGAUACUCAUUUAGUACCCAUUCAUUUUCCUCCAACCCAUAUUUUUUUAUCAUAUUCUCCCAAUAUUCUUCAAAUUCAUUCGGAUGCCAUGGAGCAUACAAACAUCUUCUGAAGUCGUCGGAAAAACCUUUGAUUUUUAUGUUUGCCGUUACAUUUUUCUGAAUGUGCCAGCCACAUAAUCGGUGAGUUGCAUUUGGGAAGAUUUCUUGAAUUGCUGCCUUCAUUGCCUCAUCACCAUCUGUGACCACAACACUAGGAGACUUGUUCAGCAUGACAUCUAGAAAGUUUUGCAACAACCACGUAUAUGUUGCCGUUUGUUCGUUCUCUAUCAAGGCAAAGCCAAAUAUGCAUGUUUGACGGUGUUGGUUACAACCCGAGAAGAUAACCAACGGUCUUAUGUACUUAUUUUUCUGAUAGGUUGUAUCAAAUGCAAGCACAUCUCCAAAGCACUGAUAAUCCGCCCUACAAAUGCCAUCUGCCCAAAAUAGAUUCGCCAGCCGACUUUCAUCAGUAGCACUGUACCUUGCCAUGGCCAUGGGGUCAACAUCGGCUUUUCCAAGUAGAUAGCUAAUUGUUGCAUUAGAAUCCCCACCAAUGAGCUUUGCACGACGAGUUCUUUCAAUGUGGUUAUCCAGAUCCUUCUUUGUGAACCCGACAUUAGCAUAACCCCCGGCUUGGCCUACCAUUAGUCCCAUUAUCUUAGCGCUUGGAAGACCAUUAUCGUGCAUGGUGUUUGCCUGAGCUUUUUGAGCCUCAUUCAUCCCACGGUGGUUUGGAAUUAGGUGUACCAAGCAUUGGGGGAUAAGAUCGUGGUUGUGCUUCUCAACUAAUUUUUUAACUCUCCAAGCUGAAGUUUUGGUGUCAAAGUACACCGCAAGCAUGGCUUCACAACCCGUACGAGUCAGCGCUUUAUGCUCCCUCUUCCUGUUCAAAUUAGAGAUGUAUUUAUCGGCUCUCUUUCCUUCCUUGUUGUAAAAAAAUCGCCUUCUGCGUUGUGUUCCAUCUUUUCCACGCGCUGUAUCACCCUUGCGAACUCCGAACCCGACACACCUUGCAUAACGCACAUACAAGUGAUAAGCUGCAUCCGAUGUUUCAAAUCUCUGGUUUAUAAUAUCAUCGACUAUCACAACAACACACUUGCUACUGCUGCCACCGCAAUCACAAGUGCAAUUUACAGUCUCUUCCACACCAGUCAUCAAGCAAUCUUCAACGUUCUCUUCUGAAUUGAGUGGUUCCGAAUCAACAUCCAUUGCACCCAGACUCGUUUUCUUUCUAAUUCUAUAUAUGUAAAAAAGUGAAAAUUUUACCCCCUAAACAAGAACAGGUAGAAGUAGGAGAUAUACAUAUAAUUUUCUACUUCUUCAAGACACCUUAGAAUUGUAUUUUGCAGAUCUCAGUAUAUUUAAUAGAUUCAAAUUCAACUCCAGUAUUUUAUCCAAUAUAUUUCAAAUAAUUUGAUUCAGAGCAUAAUCCUAAUUCAGAUACAAAAUAAAUACCGAAAAAAAUGACAAGUCUAAAUCAACAAAAUAUACUUUAAAUUUAGGUUAAAUUUCAACUCCGUCUAAGUUUUGCACACCCUUACCAAGUUACCAAGGUUUCUCAAACCAAACAAAUGAACACUAAAUUAGAUGGUUGCACACUAAAUUAACAAAAAAGUCAAGCUUAGGCACUAAUUUAAUUGCAGAAAUAUCAUUUCUUCAAAAGUAAACACUAACACGUCCAAUAUCAUUUACAGUUUCAUUUAAUUAAGAAAAAUAAAAUUGGUCAACCAAACAUGGCAAGCACUUAACCCAAACAUGCAAAUAUGAAUUUAACAUAAGUGAAAUGUGAAAUGGAGAAGGAAAUGAAAGAAGGUUGACAGGAAAGCAUGAAACAUCCAGCAUAGACACAUUCUCUUGGGUAUUGCUUGAAAUUACCUAUUGCUUAAAAUUCGAAUUUAAAAUUUAGAGUUCAACAGAACUCCUACAUUCUUGAUCUAUUUCGUCAGAACAAAUGAUCAUUUGUGCUAUAUAUAUAUAAAAGGAAAUGAGAUUUUUUUUUAUUAUCUUCUUCGUUUUUAUUUAUAUUUGUUGGUUUCUUUCUUGACUCAUCUAUCUACCCUUUUGAGUUCUAAGGUAUGUGUAACUGUGUCCACAACAAUGUUAUACACUAUGCUUAUUUUUUCAGUUUGUGAUCAGACACGCAGGUCAAUGCAUAAUUGUUAUUGUUAAUGGAUAAUCUUAAGAGUAAUUGUAAAGCUUUAAAUGAUAAUAAACUUUUCCAUCAACGUAUAAGUUUUGUUAGCACACAAUGUAAUUGAGCUUAACCCUUGAUAUUAUUAAUUUAUUUUUUGGUUUCAAGGAACCUAAAUAAACCCUUUUAUUAGUAUAACUUUCUUUUUCUCUGUACAUAUGUACACACUCAGAAGCUAUUCAUAUUCAUACUUCAUUUAUACACUGCUUUUGACAGAGAAUUGAAGGAUGGCAAAAAAACAAAAGGGUCCUGCAAUAGGAAUCGAUCUUGGAACUUUAUUGUUAAAGCUUAAGACAGUAAUAAAGCAAGAAUUUUAUCUUCUAUGGAAACGUCCUAAUAGCAUAGAACUUGCAGGGACUCGCUAACCGUGGUUGCUCAAUCCGUGUGGGAAGAGACACAGAAAAGAAUGACAAAGGUAAGUUUCCAGUAAAAUUGCAGUAGGUUGAGUUGAAGGAAUUGUAACAUUAGACUACCUAUUCCUUCUUUAGAAUAUUUGCUUUGCUAAAUGCUAAUGUAUCAACUUGAAUUUACUAAUGCUAAUGCCACAUAUACUGCUAUGAAAAAAUGCUAUGCAUCCCUUGUUUAUUUGCCCAAAAUCACCCCGUUAAGUAGGUAGUCUAUAAAAAUAUAAAAUCCUAAAUUUUUGUUGCAUCUUUCUAGCACUUUAAAUUCGGACAAGAACCCUAGCUAUGUAACAUUGUUUUUCUGGUAUUACUUUUCUCAAUUGAAUUUUACUUCAUUUCCUUUUCCGUUCCAAUUUUACCUCUGCAAUUAUAUUUUUUUAUAUUACUGUUUCCCUUUCAUCAUUACUUCUUAUUUCAAAAUCAAUUUCAAUUUUAGUUACCAGUUUUUUGCAUAACCCAUUUAAUUCUGUUUGAUCCCAAUUAUAUAAUUAUUAAUAAAAUAGUAAAAAAUCCCAAUUUUGGCUUCAAUCAUUCAUACCGUUCAUCUUUUUAUGAAUACCCAUGUGCCCAUAUUGGUGAUCUUCACUCAAUGUGAUUAUUUUUGACAAAAAAAUCAAACACAGCAACCAAACACAAAAUAGACGAAGAGGAAAAUUUGUUGAAAACUCAUCAGAUUGGGACCAGGUUGUGCGAAGGAGGCCGAGGAGUUGCUGAAGGCGAGGAGGAAGUCGGGGAAUUGCUGCUUCUGUCUCGGCGUCGACGGGCGCAAUGACGGUGCGAGACUGACUACGAGGCAGUGACAAGACAGGGAGCGGCGACAACGUCCAGGUCCGGGAGCUGCUGCUACUGCCGCCAGUGACGACGACGGCAAGGAAGGCACGCGAGAUUGGAGCCGGGAGAGACUGACGACGAGCUUGUCGGAUGAUGCUGAUAGAAGGAGAAAACUUGGGUCAAUGAGAUAUGAGAGAUGAGAGAGCUUCUGUGAAAGUGACGUUGAGGGAGGAGAAGGGAUUAUAAAAUGACGUAGUUUGGUGGACUGAAGAAAAGGACAAAAAAAGAAAAAGACUCGGACCGGUUUAUUUAAACCAGCUAGGUCGAACCGGAUUUAAAGUAUCUGGUUUAAAAAUAAAUUUUAUUAACCGGUUUUAUAAAACACCAAUCAUAAAGUGACACGUCAGCAACUUUAAAAAAAGUUGUUUUUGUCAACUUUAUGUGAGUCUCCCCCUAUAUUUAAUUGACUAAAAAUGUUUGAGAGUAAAAGAAAUAUGGGAAGUGGCCCCUGUGUCUAAAAUCCAAUCAUGUGAACUCACAACACGAGUGAAAAAAAAAAAGAUAUGAUAUAUAUCUAUUGAUGGUGCAUGAAUUGUUAUCAAAUUUUUAUUAUUAGAAAAUUCUUGAUGUUAUUAAAAGAGAGCUAUUAGUGCUUUCUUUUGCUUAGAUGAAAACAAGCUAUCUAAAUUGAUGUUCUUAUCCUUUUUAGGAGAAGGAGUGAUGCUGGCUUCUUCAUUCUCUAUAACAUUGAUAAUAUUAAUAGAAGUCAUAAAGUGAUUCACUGCCUUAACUUGAUUUUGUUGCAUGUGUGGUGGAAAGUCAUGUGUAUGGUAUCAAGUGUCUACCAAAUGUCCUGUUUUACCACAGUAUGAACAUAGUCAGAAUGCACCUCUUUCGUUGCCUCUUCCACGUACACUACGCUUCCUUCCUUGACCAGGAAUAUUAGAGGAUGUGGCUCAAAAUUCACAAUUUUAUUGACCAUUUGGUUUUAUCUCAAAAACAUUAAUGGCAGCAGAAUUUACUAAUGCAUUAGAAUUAGGCUCAAUAUUGUGCACUUGUUGUCUUUCUUGUUAGAGAAGAAGAGAAAAAGCUAUUGUAACAUCUGGAAGACUUCACGAGUAUUAUUUGAGAGUGUACAUUUACAUAUUAGUCAUUAAGACCUCUGAGAAAUCGAAUCACAUAUGACUGAUGUCUAUAAUGGUGCAUUAUAUCCAAACCACAACUACAAGUGCUUUCACAAAGACAAGUGGGUAUAGAUCGAAAUUCAUCUAAUUCUUCCCAAAUAGCUUUCAAUUUUUUGUAAUAGAGGUGGUAGACAUCUCAUCUUACUUUGUGGUGAACAAAUCUUCUUCCAACUUAGCAAUUCAAAACAAAUCAUUCUCAUAGAACCUGUGCUUUAGGUCCUUCCAAAGCUCAUAUGCCACACCAAAGAACGCUUUGCAGAAUUUCAGAACUCAGUGAGCCAUGCAACCAUGACAAGACAAAGAAAUUGGACCGAUCCCAUGCUUCAUAAGUGUCAUCAUCUUUAUUGGGUUUUAAGAGAGUGCCAUCUACAAAUUUAAUUUUAUUCUUUGAUUUUAGGAAAAUCCAAACGGAUCUAGACCAACUGUGAUAAUUUAGGGUUGUUAAUGAAGUAGUUGUGACUUGUGAAUAAGAGUCCUGGAAUUUCACUGGAAUGUAGGUAAAAGCAGCUCAAUGGGUCUUAUGAGCUUAGUUUUGUAGUGCUCGUUUGGAGAAUUGAGCCAUCAUCUUAGCAAAUUUGUGAAAAUCAGCAGCAGUGAAAGUUUGAUAUUCUAGAUUCACCACUACUUUAUUUUCAGUCAUCGUGGAUGAACGAAUUGACAAGCUCUUCUCUCACGAACAUUAUGCAAAAGUAUACUUCAUACGUGGUGAAUAAUUCACCUUUUUUGUUAGCUUCCACGCUCACUAUGAAAAAUUCAUUCUUCAACAAAAUAUAGUUUCAUACAUUAAAUGUUGUUUAUAGAUAAAUUUUUUAGAUUAAAUUAUUGCACCUGAUUGUUAUGCCGCUUCUGCUAUUUCUUUUACUUUUCGCAUUGAUACAUUUUAAAAGUUUGAUUUUGAUAUAAAUUUAUAGUGUCAAAAUUUUUACAUUAUUUUCUAAUUAGAAUUAAUUAUACAUCAUACAAACUUUCGGUAUCUCAUCAUUUUUUUAUCUUCUCUUACUCGUAUAUUACCUAUACAUAAUACUAAAUAUAUUCAUAUAUACAUGGACGCUAUCUGUAUAUUGCACGUGUUUUAAACUUGUAGUAUUUUAAAAAUUGGAUCGUUCUAGCCAAUUUAGUAGAAAAAAGUAAAAUGAUCAUUUUUACCAUUCAAUUAAGAGAAAUAAUUGCCAAUUUUAUAUAAAAUUUGUUUCAAAAACUCGUUAAUUAAAACUCAAAAGGUUCUUGUUUUUUUUUUUUUUUACAAAACAGACUUAUACUCUAAAAGUAAAUAACAAAAUUGACAAACCAAUUUUAAUUAGCACGGAAGGUCUUAGAUUUAGUAGUAAAAAUCUUUGCUUUAUAAUAAAUAAACCCAAAUUUGAGACUUGGCUAAAGCAAGCAAUGAUGCUAAUCACAACUCCAACCACAACUUAUUCUCCACUUUUUCUUUUUGUUAGGGAUGGAAAUGGGUCAAGCCGGCCCAAGUUUCAACUUAAAUGAGUUUGGCCUACGUUGCAAAUAAAUAGCCUAAGUCUAGGUCUAUUACCUUUUAUAAACUUUUUUUAAGGCUCGAGUCUGGCCUACUUAAAAGCCGGAUAAGUUCAUGAACCUAUUUGNNNNNNNNNNNNNNNNNNNNNNNNNNNNNNNNNNNNNUAAUCAUUAAUUUUUUUAAUUUUGUUUUAUAUAAGUAAAUAUAUAAAAGUCCAAACUAAAAAUAAUUUAAUUUUAUAAAAAAAUAUUUUGAUGAGCCAAUCCAAUGAGCUUCUUAAACUUUUUUAAACUUAUAACCUGACUGCUUUAACCAAUAAACUUUUCAAAAAGCUCAAACCUAGCCUGUUUAAUAAUACAAGUUGAGUUGAGCCGAUCCUAAAAUGAGUCAAGCCACGAGCCCCAUUAGGUAGUUUGACCCACUUUUUCUACCCCUACUUGUAUAAUUCUAAAGAUUAGUCAGUUUUGAUUGAGUUAACUGAAAAUCGAUCCUCUAGUUAAUUUGACACUUAUGAAAAUAAAUUUUUAUUGAAUCGAUCAAGAAAUUGCUAGAAUCGAUGGAAAGUUGGCAAACCGAUUGAACUAGCAAAGGUUCAGCUCAAUUGGUUUGUAAAUUUUUUUUAAAAGGUUUUUAGCGUACAAUUUUUUUUAUAAAACCUUAAAUGACGUGGUUUACAUUAGGGGUGGCAGGCGGGCAUACCUGCCCUCAAAAGCCCAUUAUUUGGCGGUCCUAAAUUUCGAACUCAGCCACUAAUGGCAGAUUCGCAGGUCGCCAAUUUUUUUUUUGAAAAAAAUUAUUAAAUAAUUAAAUAUUAAAAAAUAUAUAAUUUCAUAAAUAUUUUAAUAAAUUUAUAAUUUUACAUAAUCAUCAAUUAAGUUUUUUAAAAUAAAAUAAUGAAAUUAACAUUGUUCAAAGCAAAAUAAACAUUAUCCAAAAUAUAGGACAAACGAGAUUCAUACCCUUGACACUUGCUUAAGUGGUCUAGUAAGCUAACUACUUAAUUAACCCAACUUUGUUAUAGUAGUCUCAAAUUUCUAAUGUUUUUUGAUCAUACAAAUUUCUAAUUCGAUUAUCCUUUUUAGUGAGUUACGUAAAGUGGCCCGGCAAAUUUCGACCCAAUCGUUAUCCAAAGUACAUCUUAAAAAACAAAAAAAAAAAAGAAAGAAACUCUAAAUCAUUCGAACUCACUCCAAUUCCCCAAGUUAGGCAAGUACCCUUGUCUAGGGGUGUUUAAAAUCGAUUGGAACUAAACAAAAUCGACCAACCAAACUGAAAAAAUUGAGAAAUGAACAAAUUAAAAACCAAAAAAACCGAAAAAUCAUGUUUUCAUGUUUUUUUUAUGGUUCGGUUCAGUUUUCAAUUCUGCCUGUAAAAAUCCUAACCGAACUGAACCGAAUCGGUCAACUAAAACCCCUAAACAACCAUUAGAUAACCCAACCCCACUAGGCAUUUCCCAUCCCCAUCAGAUAACCCUAGCGCAGCCAAAGUCUCAAAGAAACCCCAUUACCCCAGCCCCUCCCAGCGCCGCCGAACCNNNNNNNNNNNNNNNNNNNNNNNNNNNNNNNNNNNNNNNNNNNNNNNNNNNNNNNNNNNNNAGCUUCUGAAUGUGUAUUAUUUCUGAUUUAGGGUUCUAGGUUCUGAUUGUUAGAGAAGGAAUAUUUAACUGCAUUUUAUAUAUAAUUAAAUGCUGGAUUUAAGAUUUGUGUGUUGAUGUAGUUGCCAUAAGCCGAUAAGGAAUUCAUUUGGUGCCACAAAUUACCCUGUUGUGUUUUAAUAAAUAAGGAAUUCAUUUUCUUUUAUGCGUUUGUGUUUUGCUGAAUUGUUAACACAUUAGUCACUUUAAACAGUGGAAUAUGUAGUUCUUUGAUCUAUAACUGUGAAACAUUAAGAUAUCACUACCUGCUAUCAUAAUGAUUUGAAGCCAAUGUAUAGGAGUAGGACAAUUGGAAGAUUAAUGAUGAAAUACUAUAUAGGAAGAUCAUUUUAUUGGAAUAUUAUUCAUGUCAUUCAUUGUUUUACUUGGUGCUUUGUUUCUAAAAUUCUACCAAAACCUGUGAAGGGUCAGCUUUGGCUAUAUCAUAUAUGACAUAUGAGAUAUUUAAUGUUUUUUCCAAUCUUAUCAUUUGCCACUAAAUAUAGCAUUGUUUUUACAGGGAAGGGGGCUGGAGAUUGUAGUUCAUGUGUAGGUGUCAUGUUGGAACUUGCUACUGCUGCUGCCUACCUUCUUCUUCUCUGCUUCCUCAUCCAUCUCUGUCUUCCAACACUGCAAGAGUUCGUUGCCACCAGCAUCGUUGCCGCCAGCAUCGUUGCUCUGUUUUCUAUCUCUCUUCCUGUGCUGCUAAUCGGUUCAACUCCUUCAACUCCUGCGUCUUCGCCCGCGACGCUGCCACCAGCAUCUCUGUCACUUGCGUCUCUAUUCGCCUCUUGUUGCUGCCCUUUCUCGUCCCUUGUAAGUCUUACUGCUUUCUCAAUUUC